rnacentral:lncRNA from 1 species
GGGAGAGAGAGAGAGAGAGAGAGAGAGAGGUAGGUUGUGUAGUAAUAAUAGUAGUAUANNNNNNNNNNNNNNNNNNNNNNNNNNNNNNNNNNNNNNNNNNNNNNNNNNNNNNNNNNNNNNNNNNNNNNNNNNNNNNNNNNNNNNNNNNNNNNNNNNNNNNNNNNNNNNNNNNNNNNNNNNNNNNNNNNNNNNNNNNNNNNNNNNNNNNNNNNNNNNNNNNNNNNNNNNNNNNNNNNNNNNNNNNNNNNNNNNNNNNNNNNNNNNNNNNNNNNNNNNNNNNNNNNNNNNNNNNNNNNNNNNNNNNNNNNNNNNNNNNNNNNNNNNNNNNNNNNNNNNNNNNNNNNNNNNNNNNNNNNNNNNNNNNNNNNNNNNNNNNNNNNNNNNNNNNNNNNNNNNNNGAGAGAGAGAGAGAGGGUUUGUGUGGUACUAAAUAAUGGUUACAUAUAUUUUUGAAUUGUCCUUUUGGGGAAGCAUGUUGAGAGCUGGACAGAUACGAGAGAUCGUAAGAAGCAGGAGAGGGAGAGAACUGACGCUUGAAAGGAGACAACAAGUAAUACAUCUCAAUUCUUUAAACAUCGUAAUAUGUGGAUGUAUGAUUGUCUAAGCACCGGGAUUACACAUGCUCAGCUUAGAACAAAUGUUUGAUAGUAAACAAUGAGAAAGGGCCUUAAUGAAGAUAUCUGCCAGUUGGUCCUCUGGAGAGAUAGGUAGACUAGAAAUGUUCCCUAUUAAUACAACAUUUCAAAUGAAAUAAAAAUUAAUUCAAUAUGCAUAGUGUAAAGGCUAGAUUAUUGGCGAUGAAAGUGAUGGCCUUAUUGUCAACACAUGAAAAUCAAUAUAAGUAAAGUUCACAUGCUGUAUGCUCCAAUGAAUCUACUCAUGUAACCUAAUAAUAAUCUGUUUUAGAUAGAUAUUUUUAGUAAUAGUUGUGCUUUUAGAUCCAUUAAUAAAGGAUCUUUUUCCCUUUAAAAAGUUGAUAUUUUGAUGGCCAUAAAUAAGUAUAAAAUCAAUUACGAAGCUAAAUUAUCAUUUUAGAUGUUGAAGUGAAAAUUAGAACUAUUCACAAAAGAUAUCACAAUGAGAGUUGAAGUGACUAAGACACAUGAAUCAAUGAGGUUUUAUCAAGUAAAAUAUCAGUAUAAAAGCUUAAUCUAUUAUGCACCUGCAUAGUAGUAUUUGCAUGGUUAAAUAGAAGUUACAUGAAUAUAAUAGAUUGAAGUUGUGUAUGCCACUCUAAUGUGUAAAUUUAUAAAUAUCAAAUCUUAUAUCAUAGAAAAUGAUUUUACUCUUAUGACAUCAACACCAUGAUCUUAUAAAUUGAACUCAUGAUUUAAGAUAGAUUUUCGUGAUUAGAUUGUAUUUGAAGUGAUUAUAAUUAGUUUUCACAAUGAAUUGUUGAUUUAAUAAGAGAUGUAUUAUUAGUUAUAAGUUCAUGCCAAAGGAUCCUCAUCGAAAUCAUAUGAAUCUAUAUCAUGUACAUGUAGAUAUUAAAUCUCAAAAAGAUCAUAUAUUAGAAGACAAUAUUUAAGAGAUGUAGAAAUCAAGGAUAUCUGAGACAUUUAACAAUCAUAUCACAUCACUCUAUCAACCAUUUGAAUUUGCGUUUAUUUUAAGGAAAACAGAUCACUUAGGUGUUGCUUGAAGUUGUCACAUAGGAAAUCUAGAGAGUAAUUGAGAGGUCCUUGUUGGAUGGUCUAUGUGAAUGCUUUGAUUUGAGGAAUACUCAUCGUGUGUAGAAAAAAUCAUUAAACAUUUUUGAAACUACAACACCUUCAAUGAUUUGUCAACAUCCUUAUGUGAACGCCACAAAAGAAAUGAAGCCUCGAAAUUCAUCUAUUUAUUAGAAUUUUGAACAUCCCCAAGACAACAUCAUUAUCCAAGAAAAUACUUGUAAUAAAACCUUUUAUAUAUCUUGUGACAUUAAAAUUUAUUUAAUGAAUAGAGGCUUAUCUAAUAAUAACUUGUUGACAAAAAUAUUUAGUUUGAAUAAGUAUUUUAAGAAAAAUUUGAAGGGAGUUAAUUAUAACAAUCAAUCAUUGUAAUUGGAUGAUUAUCGUGAAUAUAAUUAAAUAAUAUUUUUUCAUUUAGAGUGGUUAUAGAUCACUUUAAAGCUCUUUUAUUUUACACAUUAAUCUAGGAAACUAUAAGGCCAAGUGUGAUUUCUAAGAGGCUAGGUAAAAUACCAAGAGUGAGGUUGAAUUGAUUUUUCUAUAAUUUUAUAUUUUCUUUCCAUGGGUGAAUGUGUUGAGAUGCAUUCUAACUAUAUUUUUUUAUACUAGUUUGCCCAUCACUUGGCUACUUUUAGUUUUGAAGGAUCAUUCAUAUUAGAUUUUAGUAUUUACCUUGAAAAUAAACACUAAUUUUCACGAAAUCAAUAGUUAAAUCACACUAGUUCAAUCUCUAUAGAGAUCUAACCCUUCACAUGUUAAAUUAGACACAAAGCACCUCAUGACUUUGCUGAAAACUUCUCCCCUCACUACCUAAUUGCCUUUGAGCCAAAUAGCGAGUUUGAUCAUAAGAUUUGAAAGAAUGCUUUGAUCACCAAUAUCACAUAAAUGAUGGAUAAAACAAACUAGACACAAUUGAAGUUCACAGUGGUCUUACCUUGAUCUUGGAGGAUGAUGGAUUGAUGUAAAUACUCAUCAAAUUGUUAUUCUUAUUUUUAUAACAUCUUUGCUUGUAUGGCACCAUCCUCCAUGAAUUUCUUAUUUUGAAAUAAUUGAAUAAAAUCAAGAAAGUAAUUAAAAUUCUCACUAUUUUCUAGAACAUAUGGUAACGACAUUUGAUCAAUUUGAAUUUCAUAACUUGUUAUUAUUUGAUUCAUUCGAUCUGAAAUUUGAACUCAAAAUUUUUCUAUCAUAGUGAAACAACUUUGUCAUUGGUAAUGACUUCAGAUAUAAAUAUCUUUUUUAUUUUUCAAUUUUUUUAUUUAUUUUCAUAAUACAUGUGUCUUAACAUAAUUGGCUACAAUUAAAUAGUUGACUGAUAUAGAUAAAUGAAUCAAAAUAUUAGACAUAAUUUACCUCUUCUCAUUUACCUAUUUCAAUACCUUUUUAAGAUAUAUAUUUAUUUUCCAAAAAUGUUGUGCUUCACUUAUUUAUCAAUUUUUUUUCAUUUCAAGGUUUAAUCCCUUGGGUUUAACAAUUAGUCAUAAUCUUAUGAGAUAAAUAAAAAAUUGAUAGGUUGAAAAGUCUAAAGUACAUAAAUAAUUUUCUCAUAAAUGUAACACAGUAACUUAUGCUUAGUACCAUCAACAAUUGGAAGUUGCGGCAUAGGUUUAUUAAUUCAAAGAGACCUAUUAGAAAAAUUAUUAUAAAAAAAUCAAUGCAACCACCACUUAUUGAUCUAAAUGUAGCCAAAAAUCCAACAAAUUGUAUCUAAGUUUACUUUUAUAUGUAAGAUAUAUUUUUUUUGAGUAGAUCUAAUGGUUAGUGCAUCAAUAUAUAACUUGGAGAGAACACAAUCCACAAUUCACUCUUAUUUAAUGGAUCAAAUUUUGUAUCCUAGAAGAACCAAAAAUAAAUCUUCACCUAAGUUUUAACUUAUCAAUGAUAUACAUUUAUUACAGAUGUAGUAUUUUUUAUUAAAUAGAUACUUACUCAUAGAAUAAUGUAGCAAAUAUACGAAAAAUUACAAGUGACUCAUAAAGGAAUCACAUAAAUGAAACAUUUGAAAAAAAUAUUAGGAUCCCUAUUAAUUUAUGCCACAAAGUUAAAAAAGAAGAAGUUUGAAUACAAAAACUCAUGAAAAGGACUAUUAGAUUGAAAUGUACCAGCAUUAUAGAUGAUUGUGUACUUUUAAAAGAAGAGGAGGAAAGAAUAUAUGAUUAUGCUAACCAAAGUCUUAAGAUAAUUUAUACUAAUCCAUGGUAGAAAAUUUCGGAGAAAAGCUAAAUAAUUUUAUACUAUUAUGAAUUAUAAAUGUGAAAAUGAAAUAACAUAAGUAUAUGAAAUCAAGUCACUUGAAGGCUGGUUGCUCAGGAUUACAAUUGAGAAAAGGAAGAAGAGGACAAUAGUGAAAACAUGAAUUAAUGAAGAUAUUUCUUCAUCAUAAAAUUAAGAAAAAGGAAAGAAAAAUAUAUUGUUUGCUACUGAUCAGCCAAAGAUAAAGAAAUUUUUAGAACUAUUUCUUGAAUUCCACAAUGCUUAUAGACAAGGAAAAUGAAGUCAUUAAAAAGCUAGAAAAUAAGACAUAAUUGGAAGACCAAGUGAAAACCACACUUGUAUCUACUAGGAACCAAUACAAAAUAUUUUAAAAUGAAAGACUAGGAGAUAGAAGAAAUGUCUUAUGAAGCAUAGAGUUGAAAUGUGAUAUGAACCCAAUUAUUACAUUGAAGGAAGUAUAAGAACAAGAGUUUAGGAGGAAGACAACAAACAGCCAAGAUACAGCAAUUAGAAGAAGCAUUGAUGGCUCGGAUCAAACUAGGGGACCUAUAAAAGAGAGAAGAGUUCAACUAAAAGGGGUGCGAAGAGCCAUGUGAAGGAGAUGAUGGGGAUCCUCUUGAAUCAAUCCCCAUUGUUCCUUUGCUUCUGUUUUCCCAUUUUCCCACCCUCACACCCACAUCUUUAUUCUCCAGUUCUGAGAUCACUCAUCUCCACUAGAACUAAGCCUUCCAAAUACUAUUUUUGAUUCAAUCCUUUCAACAAUCAAUUAAAUAGUGAUUCUACUUAGAAGAACCUCUUAGAUCCAUCCCUAAUCGACUUGAUUAGAGUAUUUUAGAGAGGAUCAUACCAUUUAGUAUUAGAGCCAACAAUCCAACACAUUCAAUGACCCGCAAGCUUUGAGAUGCACAGAUUGAAGUCUUAGAAGUAGAAUAUGUUGCAUUUAAGAUGGAAUAGAGAAAACUCAGUGAAGAAAUACGAAGAUCACAAGAGGAAUCUAACAAACUGAUGCGGCAACUACUGCAAACUAUGCAACAGUUCUAGGUAACAAUGUCUUUUCACAUUGAUGCCAUAGAAAGAAAAAAAACUCCAGAAUAGCAUGACAAAGCACCAGUUCAAUCAUCUCUUACAGAACCUCACAUCAUGGUUCAAAUGUCAUGGUGUUCCUAGGAAUCUACAUUGUGAUCUAUUAGCAUGUCAAGAAAUUAUUAUAUCUAUCAAGAGAAGAGAGAAAUGUUUUCAGAGGAGAAAAUCUAGAGGGAUGCAUACGUUGCAUGAAAUUAUUCUUUAAAUUUUGAACAAAAGAUUGUGAACUCAACGAGGAACUUAUCUCCGAUUGAUCGGUGAAUAAGUCAUCACUAGUAAGAGGACGAUCCGUCAGAAGAUGAGUCACCACCUCCUAAAAGCAUACUAGAUGCAAUAAAUGGCCUCCUUUUACUGUACUAGCUUGAGGAUGAAGCUUCUGUGACAUGCCUCAUCUCCAUUUAGCUUAUCUCCAUAGGGUAACAGUCGCCAAAGGGCUGUAAGUUAUUAUUUUUCAAUUCUACUAGGUGACAGCUGUUCGAGAUGAUUUGGCGAUGCAUUUCACUGAUUUCUAGACUUUGAAAGAAGAUCUAGACAUUGUCCACAUCAUUUAUGUCUAAGGAGAGCCUUCAAGUCUGUGGACAUCACAUGAAAUUCUUCUGAACAUAUAAAAUUCUAAUGAUUGCUGUCGUGAAGUCAGAACUCUAUUUUUUCUACUUUAAACUUGAUUUUCAUUUAAAUUGAUGAUAUUUAGCACGAUUUCAAAUUUUUAUAUCCUUUUUCAUUGAGUUACAAUUCUUCGGGCUUUUACAACACUUAAUUUAAUGCAUUAAUUUGACGGUAAUUGCUUUCGUAAGAAUUGUUGGAUGGAACUCUAUUUCCACCUAGUUGAUGUUCGUCGAGCAUUGAUGUCACCUUGACGUCAUCACCUUAUUUCCUUUUGUGAAUUCUUAAAAUUCUAUUCAUCAUUCUGUUAAAAAAUUAUAAAAAAUCAUAUUUUUUUAGGAAAAUUCUAAAAUAUUUUUGAUAUUAUAUUAUAUCCCUAUGAUCAACUUGGAAAUUACUCACUAUUUUUGAAACCUUUUAUCAAUUUAUAAUUGGUUUACUCAUUCUAGUAUAUUUUUAAAAUUAUAAAAAUUAGUAUUUUCUAGUUUUAUAAAUUUUAAAUUUGCAUGAUUUAUUAUACAACGAUUAAGUCGCGUCAAGUACCAAUCCCUUAGAACACUGAAGGUUAUGUUCUCAUCAAACAUAAUAAAGAGAAGAGAGAAGAGAGAGAGAGCAAGCCAUCCUCAUACUUCUCUUACAAUGGGGGUUCUCCCUAAAUAGAGGGUGUGUGUCAUUUCCUAAAAGAGGGUAGUCAAUAGGAAGUUAUGAGGUAGUUACUAUAGGUAGUUGUUAUGUUAAUGGGCCACUUAUGGGCCAACAGAGUAGAGUUCCACCACUAGAAGGAAGAGAUGUGAGGAAUCAUUGCUGUAUUCUUCUUAUUAAUGCAAAGUAUCAAAAUAGAAGAGCAAAGGGCUUUGUUUUCACUGUGAUGAAAAAUUUAGCCUUGGACACCUUUGCAAGAAAUAACUACAUAUUUUAAUUAUUAAUGAGGAGGAAUAGGUCGAUGAAGAGACCCUUGUACAAGACCCUUCGGACAUAGAAUGGAGUGAAAAUAUAGACAGGGCAUUAUUUACUACUCAUAUCUCUUUGAAUUCUAUUGUACUUACUCAAUCACAAACUGUGAAGGUCAAAGGUACAAUCUAAGGGAUAUUCAUCACCAUUUUAAUUGAUUUGGGGGCCACACAUAACUUCAUCAAUAGGAAAUUAUGUCAUCCAUUGAAGCUUUUAAUUAUGAAUGGAGUCAAAUACCAUAUCAUGAUGGGCAAUGGAUAGGUAAUAGAGUGGUGUGGCAUACGUAAGGAAAUUUCCUUUCACUUUUAAGGUAUACUUAUCACAGAAUUUCUUGCCUCUUAUAUUAGGUAUACAAUGGUAGAGCUCUCUUUGGUGGACACACAUUCACUAUGACAUGCUAAUAAUGAAAUUUGCAUCCAAUGAAAUCAUUAAUACAUUAAGGGGUGAGCUGUCAUUAUCCAAGUCAGAAUACCUCCAAAAGUCUUUAGUGAAAACUAUAAAACAACCAUCCUUGUUCUUCUUGGAGCUCCACCAGGUCACUAUCCAAGAUAUACCAAAGUAAGGCACAUAUGAUAAUCUAUGGUCAGAUAAAUACCUUCUCUUUCCAAAGGUUUUCCAACCUCCCUUAAGCUGCCACCUCAACUAUUUAUAGAUCUCUCAAUUAAUAUCAUUGAAGGAAGCAAACCAAUCAAUGUGAGACCUUAUAGAUACUCCCAUUUUCAGAAAAAUGAAGUUGAAUUAGAACAAGAGCUUUUGUCAGCUGGUCUUAUCCAACCAUCUCAAAGCCCAUAUGCCAGCCUAACUUUAUUCAUAAAAAAGAAAGAUCGAGGAUGACGAUUUUGUAUAGACUAUCGUGCUCUUAAUAAGGUGACUAGUGUUUUUCCUUUCUUCUCAUUGAAGAACUACUAGAUGAAUUACAUGUGGUGAGUAUUUUCUUUAAACUAGACUUGAAGUUUGGUUAUUAUCAAAUCUAGAUGAAUGUUGUAGAUGUACAUAAAACAUCAUUCAAGGCACAUAAUGGCUACUAUGAAUUUAUAGUGAUGUCCUUUGAGCUUUCUAAUGUCCCGCCGACUUUUUAGUGUCUUAUGAAUGAACUAUUCAGGCCACAUUUGAGAAGAUUUGUGCUUGUUUUUUUUGAUGAUUUACUGAUUUAUAGCAAGACUGAAUAAGAACAUGAGAAACAUUUAUAUUAAAUAUUAUCCAUAUUAUCUACAAAUAGUCUUCAUGUCAAUCCAAAGAAAUGUUAAUUUGCCCAACAUUCUAUUGAAUAUCUAGGCCAUUGGGUUUCCAAGGAAGGUGUUUCUAUAGACAAAGGGAAACAUACUAUGCAAACAUGGCCACCACCCAAGAACCUAUGGGAAUUGAGAAGAUUUUUAGGCCUCACAAGAUACUACAAAAAAUUUGUUUAAUGCAGCUAUAGCUUGGCCAUUGACUUCUUUACUAAAAAAAGAUAGUUUUAUGUGGAACUCAAUAGCUAAUGAAGCAUUCAAUCUGCUUGAGCAAGCUAUGGUCACAACCCUAGUGUUGGUCCUCCCUAAUUUUGCACUUCCUUUUGUGAUGGAAAUAGAUGGUUCAAGGCAAGGAGUGAGGGCAGUAUUAAUGCAAUUUGGAUGUCCAGUGGCCUAACAUAGUAUAGUUCUCCCAUUGUGUCAUCAACAUAAGUCAGUUUAUGAAAGAGAACUUAUUAUAAUUGUCAAGGUCAUAUAGAAAUAACAUCAUUACUUGAUUCACUAGUCAUUUUUUAUUUGAAUUGACCACUACAGUUUGAAGUAUUUAUUAGAGCAGCGGUAUGCUAUUCUCAAUAUCACAAAUGGCUAGUCAAGUUGAUAGGAUUUUCAUUUGAGAUACAUUACAAGGAAGGGAAGUUCAAUACAAUGGUGGAUACCCUCUCUAGAACACCCCACUUAGUCGAGUUAGCAUCUACCUCUAUUUCAAGACCUUUCCUCCUCGAUGGGGGAAUGGUUCAGCGGGAAAUCCUCAUGGAUUCCAAGCUCAAGAUUAUCUGGAAUGAGCUCAUUAAUGAUUAGAAAACACAUCCUCAUUUUUCCUUACACCAUGGCUCACUGUUGUACAAAGACAUGUUGGUACUCUCACCAUCUUCCAAGCUUAUUUCACAAUUUUUGUGAGAAGCCCAUGAUUCCCUAGUUAGAGGGCAUGAGGGGUUCCUGAGACAUAUAAAAGGCUCUCCGAAGGUGUCUACUGGCAAGGAAUAAAGAAAUCAGUUAAUGAUCAUGUAGACAAAUGUCAAAUCUACCACUACAACAAGGUUUUAUUAUUGGCCCCAACUGAUCUCUUACAACCUUUACCAAUACCUCAGCAAGUGUAGGAAGACAACUCUAUGGUUUUUAUAGAGGGCGUUCCACUAUCCAAUAUCUACAAUUCUACCCUAGUGGUAGUUGACAUAUUGAUGAAGUAUAGCCAUUUUAUUCAUUUAAAACACCCAUUCACAAUAUUUCAAGUGGCCCAAAUAUUUGCAAAGUGCUCCGGUUACAUGGUCUCUCCAAAAAAAUCAUUUCUGAUUAGAAUAAGAUAUUCACAUGUGCCUUUUGGAGAGAACUACAUAAAAUAUAAGGUAUUCAGCUGCAAAUGUCUUCAUCGUAUCAUCCUCAAACUGAUGGUCAGACCGAGGUGGUCAACAUAGCAUUAGAAGUUUGUUUGAGGUGAUUUAUUUCAUAUAAACCAAAGGAAUGGACUUGCCUAGGUGCAUUAGGCAGAGCUCUCAUAUAAUACAGCUUACCAUUCCUCUAUUAAAACUACCUCAUUCAAGGCUCCAUAUGGACGAGAUCCACUAUAAACCAUCCACUAUGGACCUUUUCGUUCAUUAAUAUCAAUAGUCAAUCAAAAGUUACAACAAGGGGACCAAAUCCUCACCCUCCUCAAAACCCAUUUACAACACUCUCAAAAAUAGAUGAAGGUUAAGGCAGAUAAGCAUAGAGGCCAUAUUGAAUGAAAUCUCUAACAACCAAGGUGAAUGAGAAAUUAUCCCCCAAAUAUUUUAGACCUUACUGAAUUAUGGACAGGGUGGGAUAGGUUGUUUAUAGGUUAGAACUCCCCCCUUAGUAGCAAUUCAUCUAGUUUUCCAUGUCUCUCAAUUAAGGAGAGCCAUGGACCCAACUAUGAUAGUGCAAGCAAGUUUUCCCAUAGGAUUAAGAGUUUUGAGCCAGUUGGUGUCCAAUGACUGUCUUUGACUUUAAGAGGUCUAACAGUCCACUCUAAUUCAUUGGCCAAUUCUUACGUAUGUAAUAAUUGGGUUCAUAUCAAUACCCCUUCCUUUUGAUUCCACUUGGUCCUCUAGGUUGAACUCAUGGGAAUUGACCAGUAAUAUCAUAUGCUAAUUUCCUGAGUUCUACCUAAAGGACCAAGGAGGGGGGUAUUGAUACGAACCCAAUUAUUACGUACGUAAGAAGGAAGUAUAAGAACAAGAGUUUAGGAGUAAGACAAAAAAUGGCCUAGAUACAACACUUAGAAGAAGUAUUGACGACUCAGAUCAAACUAGGGGACUUACAUAAGAGAGAAGAGUCCAAUUGAAAGGGGUGCAUAGAGCCACGUGAAGGAGAGGAUAGGGAUCCUCUUGAAUCAAUCCCCAUUAUUCCUUUGUUCCCAUUUUCCCGUUUUUUCAUGCCCACACUCACAUCUCUGUUCUCCAGUUUUGUGGAGAUCAUUGAUCUCCACAAGAACUUAACCUUCCAAAUACUAUUCUCAAUUUGAUCCUCGCAAAGAUUUGAUCUGGUGCUGAUUCUACUUAGAAGAACCUCUUAGAUCUGCCCUUGAUCAACCUGAUUAGAGUAUUCUGGAAAGGAUUGUACCAAAAUGUUAAUUAGAAAAAAAUAUAGGAAAGAUAAUCGUAAAAAUUACAUGUAGAAAAAAGAGAAAUAAUAUAGAAAGUAAAAGUGAAGAUGGACAAUCAUUUACAUAAAUUAAAAGAUAGUUAAUGAAAAUUACAAUAUUUAAUUGACACCCCACAUAGAUAUGUAAAGAAAGAUGUAAUAGGAUAUACUAGACAACCUAGUGAAAGAAACAUCAAAAAUUUAAUCCGAUUUACUAAUAACAUUCUGCUCUUCAAAAAUAUUGAAAUAGUAAAACUAUUUAGACAACCUUUAGGUAAAGAGAACCUUAUAGAAAAUAGUAGGAAUAUGGUAAAAUGGAAAAUUUAAUAUAUUUUUGUUCCUAUGUUCUAGUAGAAACUGCUAAAAAUAUAAAUCUAGAUUGCGUCUUCUUCACCAUUCUGUAAUAAAUCUUUUUUACUGUGGGGAUCUCUCACAAAAAGGCAUAGAAAGUUUUCAGUGAUAUUUGUUGGACUGAUAUUUUAUAUAUUAUUUCCUUUUUACUUUCAUUCAGCCAUGGAAGUUUCAUCAUUUAUCACUCGAGUUUAUCAGUCAAAUUUAAAUGUUUUAAAAUGCUCUUAAAAAUGGUUAGUUUCAGAUCACGGAGACAACCAACUGAAACAUAUUUCUGAUGAAUGCGAUAUGAGUCAUCUUGGUAGCACGACUUUUUGACGGUUCGUCAACAUUUUUUGUGUGAGUGGCACUUUCCCUAAACAUCGAUGACGCUAAUAAAUAGAUAUAUUCAUUAGAACCUUUUGAUAAAUAAAUUUUCUUUUGAAAUACGCUUCUUAUUUCAUCCUUCAGAUUCAUUGGUCGAUUGAAGACACCACUUUUCCUUUGUUGUUGAUGUACUUGUCGGUCAUUGAGAGAUUAUUACUUUCACAUAAGGAAAAGCCUUCAGUCAUUAGCGACAUUUAUUCAACGUCCUUCAUUAACCUAGGACUCUGGCGGGCAAGCUUAUAAUGAAACCCACAGGUUCUGCACUUGUCCCUGCUUUGAUCACACGAUACCGAUGACUAGGGGGCUUGUGACGUGGUGAUGCCCGUCCGACCAUGUCAACAAGCCGUUGGCGUACCCCCUCGACACGCCACGCUCAGCCUUCACCGUAACAGUAAAGGCCUUCUCCUCCCCGAUUCUGGUAAACGCAAUGGUGUUCGGAAUAACUGUCACUGAUACACCCCUCGGUCGUCUAACUUGUGCCUUGUAAGUGCCUGGAUAACCGACAUUCUUUACCCUUCGGGUAACCGUUGUACGGCCAGAUAGCUGGGGCACGGUGAUAGAGGGGUAGUUGAGGUCCACAAUCCGGGGAGGGUUCCGCGGGCACGAAAACGGCUUCCCCGCGAAGGUGGCGACCUGUCUAGAGUUGUAUCCGCGGGCGCAGAGGAAGUUGAGGUAGUCCACCACCGUCAUGUCAUAUACCAGGCCAGGAUCCGCAACACGGUUCGGUUGGACGUGCCCGGCACCGUAGCUGAACGGAGAAGCGCUAAGGAAGAACGAAUCACGUAUGUUCUUCCCCGUGUUAUCUUCAGUCGUUGCUGCAACCGAGUAGAAAGCAGGAGGCACAGAUAAGAUGGAGAAGUAUGCAUAAUCUUAUGUUCAGAGCCGACUGCUUGUCGGAACUCACCGGUGGUCAUGAUCGCUGACUUGAUCGCCGCCGGGCUCCAGUCAGGGUGGAGUUUCUUGAGGAGGCCCGCGAUUCCGGCGAUGUGAGGGCACGACAUUGACGUACCAGAAAGGGCGUUGAACAAAACCCGGCGUUUAUCGAAUAGGUCACCGGAAGGACUGGUCGCUCCAGUAAAGGCUGCAAGAACGCUCACCCCAGGCGCAGUGAUAUCUGGCUGCUAGCAGUUUCAACGUUAGAGAUCGAUAGAUAGAGAGAGACGCACAGAAUGCAACUCUGUCGGGGUUGAACCUUAAGAAUCUCUCGGUUGAGAGAGUUGGGCCCACGAGACGAGAAGUAAGCCAUGAAAGGCGCCGGGUGGGUGCCGACAACUGUUGAAGGUGCGGUGAUUCUUGCGGUAGGAGACCUGGUGUCAAGUAUUAUGUAACAAUUGAGUAGCUUUAAUAUGGUUUUCCGGCCCGUUUAGAGCCAGAGAGGGAGAGAGAUAAUGGUUAUAAUUAUAUCUGAAAAAUAAUUUUUUACUAAAUUUGAACAUAUUAAGUAUAUUUAAAAAUAAAAAUAAAUUAAUUUCUGUAAACAAAAUGUGAUGACUAAACUGUAAGUAAAAUAUUUCAUGUAAUAUAGUUUGAGAUAGGAAGCUAGAAUAACCUGGAAAAUUAAAUGGUCUCUGACAACUACUUUUUAAAAGUGUAUAAUUAGGUAAAAGACUUUAAAAACACGAAAUUUAUGACCAUUCCAGCUGAAAUAAGCCAUUAUUCUCACACCUCUGAUGAACUUAAUUCGACUCGACUUCUCCUGUCCCGCUCCAACAUCCACCCGCCCCUGCUGCCCUACCCGUCAUGAUGCAUUCCUCUUUCGUCCUAUAGCAUCGCGCAGAGAUGGCCCCCUUGCCCUGGCCAUCCCAUAACAACUCCGCUGUGCCCACAACAUCAGGUAACUACUGUUGCAUGCAGGAGGCCAAGCUAACUCUGGGAGAAAAUUUCCGACAGGUCUGUUCUUGAGCCCACUUUUGAAACUUUGCCUGGUUUUCGAGAUUCUUAAAAGCAGAGUAUAGGCUUUAGAAUUUGCGUGGAUACUUACGUCACCGAGUUUAAAUAAGCCGAAAGGAUGAGGCCAUCUCGAUAUGAAAGCGAGAUGGCAGGAAGGACGUAUGGUUCAGCCGUGACGUCGUAGGCCUGACUUUGGGCAUUCGGGAGGAUCAUUCCAACGCCGCCCGCUCUGUGCACCGCCUGGCUCUUCUCGACGCUGCUGACGUUCCCCUGGGAGCAGACCACGAUCUUCCCCCUCACCUUCUUCUUGUUCAAUGAGCCCAAGAGGCAGAGCGCGCUGAGAGAGUUCCAAAUCCUUUCUUAGUCACUGUUAUCCUCAGUAGAUAAUGCAGCGGAUAGAGUAGAAAGCAGUAGCGCUAUAGUUAUCCUUACGCCUCAUCGAGCGAGGAGCUGGGGGCGCGAGCGGCGGCCGAGCUGAUCAAAGGAUAGAACUUGUUUCGUGGCAAACUGGUGGUUGAGAAGCUCUGACCCUGAACGAGGUAGAAUCAACGCAACAGGCCAGCGGCAUCAGGUUAGAGGUGGGCAGGAAGCAAUUACAAGAUAGAAAGUGGGAAUGGACAGGGCAAAGGUGUAGCUGACCUUCAGUCGCUUUCCAUUUCCGAGAACCGCGUAGUUGGGGAACUCUCGGUCCAUCGUACUCGCAGCGACAGUGAGGAUCCAUGGCGCAACAUUAGACACUGUUUCCCAAUCAGGGCCAUCGUUCCCUCCAGAACAAACUACGGUGAUCCCGUUCUUCACAGCGUGGAAAGAUCCGAGGGCUAUCCCAUCCUUGAGGUAGUCCCGCGGGGCGGCGCCGAGGGACACCGAGAGCACGUCCACGCCGUCGUGGAUGGCUGCCUCGAAACCCGCAAUUAUGUCGGCGUCAAAGCAUCCCCCAUUGCCAUUUACUGGUGGCCAGCAGACACGGUACGCGGCGACCCGAGCUCUGGGGGACCCACCCUUGGCCGUGCCGUUGCCAAAGCCCAGUAGACUGGCACGCGGAGCGAAUGAGCCACCAGCGGUGGCCAGGGUGUGCGUGCCGUGGCCGUCGGUGUCACGGGCAGUAUUUAGGUUGGCCUUGAUUGGACCCACCGCCGCCACGUAGCCUUUGUUGAAGAAUCUCGCCCCGAUCAGCUUCCUGCGUCAAUGAAAUCCUAGCGUGCAUUGUAAAAUAGAAAAUUCCUAACAUGCAAAACUCUAUGAAGGUUUUUACCAAAGUAGAUGGAACGACGUCAAGAACAUAAGAACAUUGUUAACCAAAUAUGGUGAACAAAACAAGCGUCGAUCGAUAUUUUAUUCGGAUGUAUUUGAUAUGUCGAAUAGAUAGAUGUGCAAAAACACACGAUUAGGUACUAUUGAGUCAGGGAAGCAGCGCUGAUGAUAAUGAUACGGUAGAUUUGGAUGGCACAAGAGAUCAUAAUGGGGAUAUUGCCUAUGAUGCUGACCCUGGUCCGAUUCCAGACCUUGAAAUCUAAACGCUAGUCAGGUAACACCAUACCUGUUGCACUUAAUACCGUCACUGGGGCUGCUCUCACAGGUUCCCUUCCACCUAGACGGGAUAGGCCCCAAGUCUUCAUCGUUGAAGCUAGCCGACUCCGGCCACACUCCUGUUGCCACAGGAAAUGGCAAAGACGACAUACAUGAGUGAGAAGAAAAAUGAGAGUCGUCAGGACUCUUAAAUGGAAUUGUUUCGUCUUGAAGGCUAGGUACGAGGGCCAGGAGGUCCGCGACAAUAAACAGGAAGAACAACAAAAGCAAAAAGGAAUAGAAAAGCUAGACAAGACAUACCAGUAUCUAGGUUCCCGAUGAUGACGUCCUCCCCAUAUCUCGCCUGCGUCCAUAGGGAGUCCGCCGGAACUCUGCCAUCCCUUUCUAAGCCCAUGAACUCCCAUGAACGGGUCGUAUGAAGCUUCCGUCCCUCGUUUGGGAACACCGCCAUGACCCCCGGUGACCCUACGCAGUUUGGAGAGCCAGGAUCAUAUUAGGAGACAAUUUGCAAACUUGAGAAGUAGAAGAAAGCUGGAGUACUAAGAAAAGCACAGAUGGGCCGGGCGUCCCACUUGAUAUUUCCACUGCCUCCUCCUCGUUGAGGAUUGCCGCGAACCCAUUGAUGAAUCUCGUGUAUGAGUAGAAGAUUGCAUCUUGUGCCUUCUCCUUGCUGAAUCAUAAUUAAUAAACAACGGAUUAAGAUGCGCUUCAAAUGUUUGGUUAAGAGGCGAACAGUUCCUCGCAGCUUUGGUUGGAAGGUUCGAGCACCUGCCCAGGAAGGAUCCAAGGAACUCGUGGUGAGAGGCAGUGAUAUCAUCCGAACUUAUCAAAGAGGCUUCUCCUCGGCGGUGAGGAUGACUCCCCAUGUACACCACAUACGACUGAAGGGGAGAAUCAGGAAAACAUAACAAAUAUAAGCUAUAUAUUAGAAAAUAAUAUCGAUUUAAGGACAACCAGGCCUAACGAUAAGGACAACACAGAUAUCAGCGUAGUUGCGCUUGCCUUUCUGUUGGCGGAGGCAGGCGUCAAGGCCAUAAGGCUGAGGGUGAGAACCAGGAGAGGAAUCACUAGAGAAGAGCCCAUUAUGGCAGCACUUAUUCCUUCCCUUCCUGCCUCCUUCGUUGCGCUCAGGGAUGAAGAUUACCGGUGGCCCCUCCUUUAUAUGAAUGUGAGCAAGCCAACGAGCCAGUACAUGAGAUUAGAAGAUGACCAUUUAUUUAUUUUAAAUCCUUUCAACAUAGUUUAUCGUCAGUGGGGGAGUACACGCUCUAUCGUGGACGUUUCAACUAGGGCCUGAUUCGGUGUUCCUUGAAAUAUUCACACUAAAAAUGGGCCAGUUAAUAAAAUCAGGUCAUUAGUUUAUUACCGAAAUAUUUGUCUACGAUUUUGACAUCUUUAAUUUAAAGGCUCGCGGAAAAUCGAAUCUGUCAUGACUCCACUGAUCUAAUAGAUUAUGAGAUCUGGAACCAGUCAAUCCCGUGUUUACUUUUAUAUUCUACAACAGAUCACCAGCAUCAGAGUUUAUGUGCAGCCUAUUUAAAAAUUGUUGCAAUGAUUUAUGAAGCAUUUGCCUAAACAUGGUUUCAUCGGAAUAUUCUUUUUCAAAUUUUAUACUAAAUAAUCGAAAACGCAGGUUAUUGUUUGUACGAAACAUGUUCUAACAUAACGCCUAGUAUCUUGGUGAAGGAAAGAUGAAGAGGAAUAAUCUCAACAAAGAAGAAAACUAGAAAACGUCGCGUGGAGAAAAGAAGAACACCUAAUCUGGUAACGAGUGACAUCAGCAGCUUUCGUGGACCUUCUAACGUGAGGCGUUCACUUCAUCAAUGCGUACUCUGACCCGAGAGAUAACAUCACUCAUCGUAAAUCCUUCAUCCACCGACGUUUUGACCGCAAUUUUGAGACAAAUUUGCUUACAGACUGGUACUUUGUGAUUUUAAAAGAUCAUUUUAAAUCGUUGGAAGCGAAUGGUCUUCGCAUGAGGUUAAUAUGAAUUGUAAUUUUCAGGGAUUAAAGAGGAGUACUAAUAACUAAGGAAUCCCGGAUGUCUUUGUAUCAGGUGAAUGGUUCCCCGUGUUUAAGCCUUUAUAUGCAGCUUUAUUUUCAAUGAAAAUGUAAGGGAAUCUAAUGUAGUAUUUAAUCAUAUAAUUAACCACACGAUACCUUUCUGUAUGAUGUAAGCUCACAUUACUUCGAAACAUAGGAAUGCUACAAUAUAAACCAAUCCAGCCAACUUGUGAGAACAUUCUCUAACAAUUCUACAAUAGAUGGGAAUACAUAUUACUGUAAAAAUAUGCACCCUUACCAGACAUUCAUAAUCACCCUAAUCUUGUGCGAUCUUACCUUUUCUUAAACUUACCUUUUAUUAAACAUAACGACAUUUCGCUUCAUCUGGUUCUCACGAAACAAGAACAAGAGAUUGUGCAAGGGAUGAAGGCAUGGGGCUUCUUCCUGCUUGGCCAUGUAGAUCUUAAAAGAGUGUGAGGGGAGCGGUUAAUACUUUUCCUCAUUGUGGAGACUAAUCAUCAAACAUGUACACAGUCUAUUGACGAAAUGGUCAAUACACCUCUGGAAUUCAGAUGACUUUAAAGCGACGUACCAAACUAUUUUCUAGGGUAACUGACCAAACAAGGUCUUUUAUGGUGUGGACUUCUUGAAAGAGUGUUAUGUAAUUCGCCCCAACUAAGACAUAAACGUUCUGUCCAGACUGUUUAACCGAGAGAACGUAGAUUUGCAGGAUGUUUUGGUUCUAACCUCUUGAAAUUCUUACAUUAAGAUUCAAGAAAAACUAUUCAACGUUGAAAUGCAAUAAGAUGAAACUCUUGGUUAAUCAAAUAAAACACCAUUCACUCGAAUUGACGACCUAUAAAAGUUACUGUUGUUCAGUAUUUAAAACCUAGAAUGAUUUUUAAUACCGAUUGGCAAUUAUCACCUUAAUAUUUAAAGCUUUUCUUUACGUUCCAAAAUUGGGCACAUUGUGCGCCUUCCUUUGUACCUGGUGCUACAUCUACCCAUGCCAAGCAUGUACCCCGGUACGCACAUACAGAACCUCAUCCUCCGUUACAAACCGGCACGUCACACCUCCCUCAGCUCAUUGCAGUGGGUGCGUUGUCUCUAGGUCGGUAGUUAUUGAUAUGCGGAUCUCUGUCUAGUCUGUUCUAUUUGUUGCUGAUCGCACCAAGGUUCACUUCGACUUCAUUGUGACAGAGAGCAUCAGGCACCACAGUGGCUUGACCUAUCCCGCAGAGAAAGAAUGUAUUUAUCUAAUAAGAUUUCCACUACACUCGCUUCGGCAUCAGUUUCUUAUACAACUUGAAGCAACUUGUCGCCACAUUAUCGAUGAAGAUAAUGAAAAAUAUCUUGCGAUUUGAUAAUAUCAUCAUUCCCUUAGCCAGUGGAGAAGAAUAGUCAUGCCUUUCUCAUGCACGUAGUACCAUUGUUUCAUGUCAUUUAGCUUAUGAAUCUCAAAAGUCACAGGGUGCACUUCCUACGUCAAAAAUUUACCAAUGGCUAAGCCUAAUUCAUUUGUGUCCAGAAAAUGGUUGUUGAAAUUAAGUAAUUGUAAGACUCCAUAUGCAGGACUGAUCAGGGUAUGCGCUGGUGAAUUAAAUGAGUUGAUAUGCUCGUAGCCUCGUGAUAGUGUUAUGUUCCAUCGGGAUAUCAAACCAUCAAUCAUUUUAGCCUCGUAAUCAUACUGAUUCACCCUUCGGUGUAAUUGAUAUUACGCUCAUUUGUCUUGGUUGGCUCUGGUUGCUGCUGUUAGUCUCACAAAAGUUGGAAGUAGAUUCAACGUGUGAUUGGAUUACGCUAAUGCUUCUUGAGUCAAGCAUUAACUGGAACUCUGAUUUCACAGCCCAGAUAAUCUUUUGCUCAAUGAGGUAUUGCGCAGAUAAAACACUCAUAUUUCGGGGUAUUCUGAUCUUUCCAACACUUUGUAAUUGAGCCUUCUCACUCUCAUCCAUGGUCGCUCUAUUUGCCUCUGAGGUUGUCCACCUUGCAGCCACUGCUGCACUUAUACUUUAACCAAAAAAUUGUGCCUCUGAUUAAAGUCGGUAUCAGGCUUCUUGGUGUUUUUGGUUUGAUAGUCCACCAUCGCAAAAAGAGCUGACGCAGUGGCCGACUUCACAUCACAGCCUUUCUAUCAUCGCAGCUCCAUUUUGUACCUUGUUAUGUAGUUCCAUCAUUAAGUUAAAGAAAUCCUCAUUGGACAUUCUUAAGGUUGAGGGGAAGUAAGACAAAUUUCUAGACAUAUUCCCUCUUGGUGCCUAUGUGCUUUAGCCAUUAGAAUGUAUCUCUCGCCAUUCAUACACAGUCUACGGUAAGGAAUUUAUUCUUCGAUUCCUCAACUAGGUGAUUUAAUGAGCUGAUAAUGGGUCUAGCUUCACAAUCAGUUCUCAUCCGAAACGGAAGUUUGUCAUAAUUAGAGACAGAUGCUUGUAGAUUGUGGAUGGCCCAAAGUGCAGGCCAUUGGCUGCACAUUCAAAAGCCGUUGACGGCUUGUGCCGGCCAUUAGCUGCAUUCAUGUAGGUAGAAACUUCAGCAGUGCCACGUUAGCAACAAGGACCUCAGUGCAUUCAGUGCCUCUGGCUCCUCAUCUGCCAAUGAUUUUGGGUGACUGCCUUUCUCAUAGCCCCUGCACAUCUGUCAUUUGCUCCUAACACGAUUGGAAUCAUCCUCCAUGGCCUCAGAAGAUUCGAAGAGCAAGACUAUUCGGUCUUCCAAGUAUGUAAUCAGCCCACCAAGCCGACAUCCUAUUCAUGAGCUUCGUAGGUGGCCAUUUAAUUAUGAUGGACCUUCUUUAACAUAGCCUAUCGGGGCAGUUCUCCAGUUAUGAUGUGUCUUAUCAACUAUGGUUUGAUUCGAUAUUCCUUGAAAUAUUACGUUACAGACGUAUUCAGUUUAUGCUGGGGGAAACUCUGAAGGCAAACAAUGCAUCUGUCAAGGCUCCACUAUUCUAUUAGUUUUGAGGAACUUGAACCAGUCAAUCCCGUGUUUACUUUUUAUAUCAGUUGAUGCUUGUAGAAACUCGGAAGGCAAACGGUCGAUGCUCCACUAUUCUUCUGGUUUUCGUGGACUUGAACAAGUCAAUCGUGUGUUUACUUUUAUAUUCAAGGACAGGUCACCUGUACCAUAGUUUUCGUGCAGCCUACUUCAACAUGGCUUCAUCCGAAUAUUUUACUCAAAGGUUUUAGUAAAUAAGCGAAAACGCCCCCUAUUGUAUGAACGAAGUAUGUUAUAUCAGUAGCACAUAAUAUCUGAGUGACGGAAAUACAAGGAUAAACAAUCUGAACAAAGAAGAAAGCAGGAAGACCUCCCGUGGAGUAAGGAAGCUAAUCUGGUAAGGGCUUGAAUCAGCAACUUUCGUUCACCUUCUAACGCGAGACGUUCACUUAUGCAAUGCGUGCUCUUGCCAAAAGAAGAUAUUUGGGGCAACAACGCCAAGAAGCCUUUGUGAUUCCGGGUAGAAAAAUGAUAAUGCCGAAAAAAAUUUCUUCUUUGAAAGAAUGAUGCAAUUCUGAUACUAUAGAAAGGAUUCACGUGCUUUUUCCUAGAACGGGUGCAAGAUUUUUCACUAUGGGGAUUCGAUUUGCAAUAAAAUAAUGUAAUUAAUUCCAAAUCACGCGCAAUAACUCUGUCCAGGCUGUUUAACCUGAAGAAGAUAGAUUUUCAUGAUGUUUUGGAUCCGUCCUCUUGUUCUAAGAAUAAGACCCAAGAAAAAAUAUUCAAUGCUGAAAAAUAAGACAAACUCUUGACUAAUCAAAUAAAUUACUACUCAAAUUGAGAGCAUAGAAAUUUAUUGUGAUUUACUUUUUGAAACUGAGGGUGUUUCUUCAUACUAACUUGAUUUUGAACACCUUCAAAUUCAGAACUUCUGCAUAAAAACGAGACAUUAGAGUCACCUUUUUUUAUGAAAUAUACAUCACAGGAUAAAUCAAUCAGAACGUCAAGGAGUAGAAUAGGACCCAUUAUAUUAGAAAACAAGAUUAUAGCGCUAAAUGAAGAACAUAUAUGAGCUCUUGCGGAAAUACAUCCAGGUGCUAUGAAUACGGUAAAUUAAAACAAAAACACAUGCGAUGACCAUGAAAAUGCAAGAAAAGUUUACUCCAAGGUCUUACAACGAAGAUAGAUGUAUAAAAUGUUUGUGAGCAUUUGUGUAAAGUUGUCUGAGAAGGCUCUCAGUGGGCUCCGUCAAUGUUCCUACGAAUAGAAAAUCCAUCAAGGAGCGAGCGAAGAGUUUCAAGAGAUUUCUUGUUAUCUCUAACCUUCGAAAGUAACUCUACAAGUGGAUUUACAGAAUUAACAGAAAACCAAUCUUCGAUGUGACCCAAGGAGAACUCACAGAUGAUCUCUGAAUGGUGUGGCCAGUCAUAUCAGGUCUCAGUAGCCAUAAACUAGCGUUAACAGAACUGAGGCUUCCCACUUUGUUCUGUCGACCGCUAGGAUCAGGCAUGGUGGUCCCCGCCUUAUGUAGACGAAAGCCUAGUUGACCAUUGAUUUUCAAAGCACACAAACAGACGUGCAAGGAAAAGAAAGGAGACGCCGCUGCUUAAUUCUCGGAGAUAAUGAUAUGGUAAAAAUGAAACGGUUGUCGUUUUUGUUUUCAAACCACUAGUUGAAAACUGUAGGCAGCGUCUAAAAAACCGAAAAACACUUGCUUUGAGUUGAACGUUUUUGUUAGCCAACCAAUGGCGUUUCUAUCUCUUAUUUUUUUUUACUUGUUAAGCCAAGCUUAGAUUGUAUUAUAUUAGGUCAUAUACGAUAAAAGACAACAGGAACGAAGGAAGAUCAGUGGCAAACGCGUUGAAACAGAUGAGACAGCCGAUCUCAUUUGACCUCUUAAGGGAAACCACCAUUUCCUUCAGGUACAAAAUCGCAGAUAUCAUUACCCAAGCCCGAGGCUAUUUCCUGGAGAAGACAUGAUCAUCUCCGCCUGUGGAAGAAGGAUGAUGCAGAGUCUCAUAUUAUUCACCAUAUAUCCGUUUUUCGUCAUAGGUAGAUGCUACGACGGUAAUCGAAGGAGGAAAUCAGUACAUGUGAAUCUUCAAACAUAAACUUAAUCUUCAAUGUUCCAGUCUCAAAUUCUUGAUAUAUGAAGUCCGGAAAGAAUUUUAAAAUAAAUUCAUUGUCCUUGUCUAUUGAGUUUCCCAAGAAAAAAGGUAAAUGCUAAUAUUCUAGGCUAGUUCAAAAUAGAAUGAAUUGGAUGUUGGGAACUGAGAAGCAAGUUGUAUAAGAAUUAAUAUGCCUUUACAACUUGCUUCUAAUUUAAAUUGUAUUACCAUGCGGUAGCCUUCAGUCAAGCGAAAAAUUUUCUAAGGCUGUCAGCAUAUAAUCAAUUAUGUAUAAGGAAUAAAAGUAGAUAAUGGUGAACUAGGAGAACAAGCGCUGGUUGUAUGAUAAAGAGCAAAAUAUAGAAAGGCUAGAGCAGUAACAUGCCAUUUCCACAGUCCUCAGCCAACAUAUAGUCUUGUAUUGUUAACACAUUUUGGGUCUCUAUUUCUGACAUUUCUUUAACACAUUUCUCAAUAUUAGGUUUAUCUCUGAUAUUUAAAUCAUUUGAGAUCAAACCUUUGUUGAAAAACAGACUUGACAAGCUUUCCAUGUGAACCUUUUCUUGGGAUUAAAUUUAUCCUGAAAUUUCGUAAAUAUCAUCUUUCAGACCUAAUCUAGCUCAUGCUAUUAUGAAUGAAUUCUCAAUAAAAUUUUUAGCUUAUAUUCAUAAUAGCUCGUGAAGUUGAUGUUAUAUUUAUGCCCUUAAGUUGAGAUGAAUUAGGAGGGGAGAGAAGAGUGGAGUAAAGAGGGAGAAAACAUGAUUUUGAUUCAUUAAAGCUAUUGUUGUCAACCACCCUAAGUGGCUGAGUUGUCAUGGGAAGUAAGAACUCCCAAGUCAAGCAUUCUUAGGUUAUAGUUAUAGGAUGGGUGACCUCCUCAAAAACCCUAUUGCUAAUUGGUCCCCUUAGUCCUUCCUCAACUGGUGGAUUCCACAAAAAAUCUAUUCAAGGGCUCACCACAUGUCCCACCAAUAGGCUCAGACGAUGAAGGGGGGCAUCCAAAGAAAUCUGGAGUCUAUUUUACUGAAGGUGACACAUUGCGGCAAACAUGCAAGCCACGAAACAAAGUACUAGGAUGUUGGCAACAAGAGCUCAAAAAGAUCAUGCCCCAAAAUAAGUACUCAAGUCAAUAAUGAAGAAGUUUGACAUGACAACUUGGGACGAAAACCUUCUAAAGGUUCAAUCCAAGUGUUUCCUAGUGAUAAACUCAAUCUAGGGGCUAAAUAUGUUGUCAUGAUGUAAUCAAGUUCAUACAAAUAAUAUUUUUAAAGCCUCACUUUUCAAACUAGGAUGAGUAAGGGUUGAUCCUUAAGGAGCGUGAAUAAUGAGAGUAUAAAUUUUACUUCAUUUAUUUCUUACAUUUACAUAUAUAUAAGAUGAUGAUAGGCAAAAUCAGAUUAGAAAAGAAUAAAGAUAAGACAUAUAGAGAAGGUAACGAUGAGGAGAUAAUGAAUAAAACAUGAGAUGAUGAUUGAAUAAAUAAUCAAUCUACUUCAAACUAAGUAUUAAUCUAUCCAUAGAGAGAAUUACAAGGAUGCUCCAAAUUCGGAUCUUACACAAAUCUCGUUACAUGUUAGUCUUAAGCCAAGUGAUGCUUGAUCUGUGACGAUCUUGGUGCACUCCAAGUAAUCUCCUCUCCACAAUGAUCUUACGCACGAGAAUGCUAUUAACUAGGCCUUGAUUUCCCUCCUUUUUCCUUCAGCCAGCUAUUUCUAGAGAGAGUGUCAAAAAGCACCCUCCAAGAGGGGGGUGAGAUGCCUUAAUCCCUUAAAGAAUUAGGCCCCUCCAAUGAACUAUUAUGAUGAAUAACCAUCUCUCUUGGUGGACGGCCUAGAUUCUUUCAUAAGGGUGGUGCUUUAAUCUUCCUCUUAAUCUCAUCUAAAGGCACCUUAUGAUGGAUGGCUUAGAUCUCACCUCUUGAUACCUCUUUUAAGUUCAAAUGGGUUGGGUGAAAGUUAUGUGCCACUUAAGUCCAAAUGGGGUUGACCAAGGUGACACCCUCUCUUGGGCCCAUAAACAUAUUAGGUGGGCCCUCUCCAUAAGACUUAGGCUUUUCCUUGGAUUGAGAACUUGGGCUUCUUUUAUUACUUCUAACUCAUAAUAAAAGCUCACUAAGUCUUUGCAAUCAAAUAUUUAUCAAGAGAAUGUGAGAGAAUGACCAACUAACUUCAUAAAAGUCAAAUGGGGUUAGUCUCAUAAUAUCAAUAAACAAAUAAAAUAAUAUGCUUUAGGACUUAAAUGAUAAAAUAUUAUGAAUAUAAUAAUGAGUCAGUAAUAUAUGUAUAAUUACAUUCUUUGCCCACUAAUGAGUAUCUAUAUAUAAGAUAUUAAUGUAUAGAUGUAACUACUAAUUUAUAAUUAUCACCUCCCUAAAGUAACAGGGUGUGUAAAAUGAUCAAGAGGGUGUCUCUUGAGAAGUUUAGUCCAAAGGAGUAAAAAGCCUAAUAAGCUAGAGUAGAAGGUGUGUGUAAGUAUGAAGAGGGUGUGUUUGAGGAAAUUCGGCCUAAGAAUGAAAGAUGGCACCAAAAAAAACUUUAUUCAAGGUUAAGUCACUUAUUCCUAAAAGAAGAAUAUUAUAAGUAUGUCAUUGAUAGUAUAUUACAAUUAUGAUAAUGUGAUAAUAUUAAGAUAAUACCAUGACGGUAAAAAAUAAUAGAUCAUGUAAAUGGGCCACAACAUCUUAUGGUUUCAAAAAGGAGUAUAAGAUUUCUUUUGUGUGAAGAAACUCUUGGAAAAAAUAAAGGAACAUAAAAAUUGGCAAGACAUUAAUUGUGCUUUCAGACUUAGAAGUUGAAAGCUUGAGCAACAUUCAAUUUCCCUUAUCUGUUAAGAUGGAGUCUCUCAAUGUGCCUAGUAGGAUUGUAGAAUUCAUGGUGGUAGAGUGUCUCAUCAGGCACGCUCCAAUGACCCAGUUAGAGAUAUCCCUAGAAUAUCUCAUGGAUUAAAUAUGACUAAUCUUGCUAAUAAGGAUAAAAUAUUGGGGAACCUGUCCUCCUCUCCCAUAUCAAUGUGAUAAGGACAGUUAGCUAUAUCUCUAACAUCCCCCAAUUUAUGACAACUAUUUUCAUACCUGCCUUUAUACAUAAACUAUCACUAUCACAGUGACCAAUAAAAGUUUCACGACCAAAGUGUUUCAUUUUCUCAUGGCUCACCUUAUUAUCGCUUUGACUAUGCCAAAGUUUCUGGUUAUUCUCGGGUUAUACAGAGCCCUUAUACUUUUGUACUGAGAACCCCAUUUCAGUACACAUGAAGAAAUGCCUUGGGAACCCAUCGUAUUUAGUGCACUAGUCAACAUUUAGUUAUAGAAAUAGACUAGUCUCUUAGUCAAUUGAGUCGUAGUGGGAUAACUUAACAACUUUAUUUCCAACAUAUAUCGCAGUGAUGCAAUAUUAGUACUUUUAUAUUCUUUCUUUAUGGUAUACAUCUUUAAUCUAGUAAACAUAUUAGCUUCCCCACACCUCCUAUCAAGUUCCUAUCAAGUCAUUAACUUCAAUGUUGGUGCAAAACUCAAAAUGUAAUUAUAAAAACAAACAAACUUCUCGUCAAUUGACUUAUAGCUCGAUAAUCUAACAACUCAAUGAUCUGAUCUUCAGUAACUUUGUACUCUCCCUCUGGCCAGAGAGCCCCAAAAGCUUGAUGGGCAGAUAGUUGAGCUCCAGGAGUCAGUGAGGAUUUAUCAGACAGAGAUGUCCAAUGGACAUGUAGCCGAUGGAGGAGAGGAACUAGAAGAUGCUCUGGCUAUCUUCGGUCAUUGUUACACCCUAUAAAAUAGGAGAUUCAAAUGAGAUGGAGAAGAUAGUGUCAUGAACACCUAGUUUAACAGCCUGUUUAGGAAGUUCACAGGCACCCAUAAUGGCCGACUUGAUUGAACCCGACAAUCUAGUCAAGGUGGAGGAUUUUGACGAGGCUGGCGAUCCCCGAAGUGUGAGGGCAAGGGAUCAAUGUUCCCCAUAGCAAGUGGAACAUGAGCCAGCGAUUAUAAAAUGUAAAUAAACAUGGACCAAAUGCUUUGGUGAAUGCUGUAGAAAUGCUCAAACCUUGGCUGCAAUCCAUUCAAUAAAAUCAUAAUGAGAUGAAUCAUGAAUGAUUUCAUCUAAGUUGUUUAUGGGCGUUUGAUAUUCUUGUCUGUGGACAUUCCUCAGUCCUUGAGUCGACAAGGAUUCUUUUUCAGUUUUACGAUGUUUGAAUUCACAAGGAUGAAACAAUGUCCCUUGAAUUCACAAGAGUUGCUUGAAUUCAUAAGAAAGAAACCAUAGAAAAGUGACGCAUUAUCCAUGUAGCUCUGGGCCUGACUAUGGUGUUGAGUUGGAAGACAUUUUGGGCUUUUAGAUGUUUGUACUCAUGUUUUUACAUUGUUUAUAGGAGAAUAGAGAGAGAGGAGAAAGGAGAAGGGAUAACGGGCCUUUAAUUGGCCGGGUGAGCUAUCGAACAUACAUUUUCAUGUGGAUGUUUGCAUUCAAGCAAUUUUGGCCUUCUCUUAAGAUGUUGGACUCGAAGUCUUUUUGGGCCUUCAAAUAUUUGUUAUCCGAUUUUCAGGCCUCUUGGACCACAGAUUCUUGGCAUUGUUUCCAAAAGUGGUGCCCUGGGUCACUUGUCACAAUGAGCUUUGCAGAUUGAGGGGAGGAAAUGGGCCCCGACCUGAUUUCCAUGCCUCACACCACUUGUGAGGAUCAUUCUAGCGCCAUGGGCGAGGAGCAUUGGCAGCCUAUUUUCUACCCUCAGAUUGAAACCCCGGAUCAAAGCCACAAUAUUCCUUUCACCUUCAAUGGAUUUGGCCUGCUGCCUGCGACAGUUCCGAACCACGCUCUCCAUUAGCUAUACUCUUUAUCAUAAAAUUAAACUAGUGGCCACAGAUCAACAGCCGAUUGUAGCCACCCUUUUCGCUCAAGGAGAGUCCAUUUGGUGAAGAUUCAGACUCAGACUUCCAUAGAGCUGUUGAAAGUGUGGAACUUCAACAAGAGCCAGGUGAGAGAAAUUCUCUGGCCUUGGGUGAAGCAUUCGCAAGGGGAGAAGCAGCAGUGUAAGCUUUAAGUAUAACAGCUGAGCAGGGUACAAGACAUCAAAAUUUUACCCCAGCUAGGAUUCAACAAACAAUCAAUCAACAUAAUAGAAGUUGAGUUUUGCUAAAUGUUGAUUGAUUAUCAAAAAUUUCUGCAGAAGUCAUCGUAACAAUAGAUGGGAUAAUCAGAAAAAGAGAAAAGAAUGCCUUGUUGUAAAUCAACCAAGAACGACAAGUGACAGAAAAUAGUGAAUGUUGUAGAGAGAGACUAUAAUCAAUAUGUUGAUAUGAAUAAAGAAAUAAGAUGUAUGAAUCUUGACAAUGAGAUAGUCAAGAUUCUAUAAGAGAUCUGAUUCAUUGUUCCUCCAAUAGUUCUUGAUAAUGCCUGUAAUCUGUUGUUCACUAACCUACAAGAACAGCAACCACGAGCUCUCCUAUUUCCUCUAUUUUGCUGUAAUAAUGUAUGUUGCUGACUUCCUAUUGUAGUCCUCCACAAAGAUGAUACAACUUGAAAGUGCAAGCAAACAAUAAGCAAGAAAUCUCUCAAUGGAGAAGAUAUAAAUGAGAGGACAAAUAAAUCCUAAAUCACAUGGGUUUCCAUAGAACAGUUUCUCACAUCACUUAGAGAACAUAGCAUAUGGUCUAUUUUAUAUUCUCUCUCCACAAGAGAGAGUUACACAUUCACCCCUUUGUAUGGGCUAAUAGAGACUCUUAACAUAAGAGGCUAUAUUGUUUAUAUUGGGCUAUUAAUUUGAAACUCAUAUCAUUGAGAUCUUAUGCCAUAUCUCAACAAUCUCCACCUUGGCAAAUAUCUCAGCCAACCUUCAAGAAGUUUCAUCUUGUGCUCCACUUUGAUGAUAUUCUACCUAUAUCAAAAAAAAAAUCCUUGUAACUUGAAUCCAAUUCAAACAAUGCUUGAAUUUCUCCCUUGCGACCAAUUUCGUCAACAUAUUAGUAGUGUUGUCUUCAGUGUAAAUCUUCUCUCAUAAGAUAUCUAGAGAAUUAGUCAAUUCUUGAAUCUUGUGGUAUCUAACAUCAAUAUGUUUUUUCCAUGCAUGAUAUACUUGAUUUCUUUCCAACUAUAUGGCACUUUGACUAUCACAACACAAAGGAACUCUACCUUGAUUGAAAGCAAGUUAUUUCAUGAGUCCUUUCAACCGUAAAGCUUUUGAGUGCCUCAGCUGCAGCCAUAUACUCUAAUUAUGUUGUAGGUAGUGCAAUAGUAGUUUGAAGUGUUGAUUUCUAGCUAAUUAGCCCUCCUGCAAGAAUAAACACAUAUCCUAUUGUAGAUCUUUGAUUAUCUAAGUCACCUGCAAAAUCAACAUCAACAAAUCCUUUAAUUGAUUAUAAAUUUUGCCUCUAGUACAUGAUUCUAACAUCAAUGGAACCAAUUAGACAUCUUAAAAUCCAUUCACACCUUCCAAUGCUCUUUUCUUAGAUUGCUCAUAAAUCUACUAACCACACUAACAUCAUAAGUUGUCUGGCCUUAUACAGAUCAUAGCAUACAUCAAGCUGCCUACAACAUUUGCAUAAGGAAAGUCUCUCAUUUCUUCAAUCUCUACCUCAGAUUUGGGACAUUAAUUAAGAUAUAAUUUGAAAUGACUUGCUAAAGAAGUACUUACGAGUUUGGCAUUAACCAUAUCAAACAAUUCAACAACCUUCUUCAGGUAACUCCUUUGUGAUAUCUAUAGUUUUCCCUAUUUUCAAUCUCUAUGAAUUUUCAUACCAAGGAUCUUCUUUGCUGGUCCAAGAUCCUUCAUUUCAAAUUCUUUUUUCAACAAAGAUUUCAACUUUGUAAUAUCAUUAGUAUUUUUAGCAAUGAUGAGUGUAUCAUCUGCAUAGAGCAUCAAGUAAAUUCGUGACUCAUUAUUCAGUACCGUUUCAUAUACACAACAAUCAUACUUACAUCAAGUGUAGUCAAUUCAUGUCAUGAAGUAAUCAAAUUUAUUGCACCACUAACUUAGUGAUUACUUUAAACCAUAAAGUGAUUUUAUUAACCUACAUACAAGAUGCUUAUUCUCUAGUGACUUGAAACCUUUAGGCAGAUCCAUAAAAAUAGUUUCCUCCAAAUCACCACGAAGAAAUGUAGUUUUUACAUCAAGUUAUUCUAACUCUAGAUUAUUUUAUACAACAAUGGCUAACACAAUCUUGGUUGAUGUAUGUUUCACUAUAGGAGAAAAUAUUUCAUUAUAGUCAAUACCUUUCUCUUGUGAAUACCCUAUUGUGAUGAAUCUUGCUUUGAACUAUACUUUAUCCUUUCAGAUGUAGCUUCCUUUUUCUUGAAAAUCCACUUGCAUCCCACUGUUAUUUUCCCCUUUGAAAGUUCCACCAAAUCUCAUGUCCUAUUUUUAUCCAAAGACUCUUUCUCUUCUAACAUUACCUUCAACCAUUCAUCUUUCUCCUUGUAAUUAAUUACUUCAUUGAAAAUGUGGGCUUGCCUUCACUUGUAGUCAAAGUAAAGGACACAUAAUCUUCAGGGUUAUACUUAAGUGGAGGUCUAAUUGUCAAUCUAGUCCUCCUAGUAGUAAUGUUAUCAACACUUUCUUCCAUUGAAUCAUUUUCAUCAAUUAUCAUUGGUGAAUUUAAUGUUUCCUAUACCUCCACUUGAAUACAAUCUUUGUUAGAAUUCAUAUUCUCUGGUUGUUGUACCUGUUCAUAAUCAAAAGAUUUCAGCAUUUCUUGGACUUUGGGUCAAGUUUAGAUCUCUCAUCAUUAGGAAUAUAGACAUAACUAGGACAUCCAAAUAUACUCAAAUUCGAAUAGUUCACUUCCCUUCCUGUUCAAACUUAACCACUUUGCUUGCAAGAAUAACAUUAGGUGAUCUAUUAAUCACAUAAACCGCCAUAUGCACAACUUCAGCCCAAAACUCUUUGGACAAGUCAGCAUUCAAUCUCCAGCACCUUGCUCUCUUUGUAAUUGUCCUGUUCAUUCUCUCUACAAUUCCAUUCUAAUGGUGUAUUUUCCUAACAGUAAAAUGCCUUUUGAUUCCUUGAUCUUUAUAAUAUUGAAUAAACUAAUAAUUUAUAUAUUCUAUCCCAUUAUCAGUUCUCAAGACUUUUAUCUUACUCCUUAUUUGAUUUUCAACUUGUCUUCCACACCCUAAACUUUUCAAAAGUUUCAAACUUUUGUUUCAUGAAGUAAACCCAGACUUUCCUUGAGUAAUCAUCAAUAAAAGUUAGAAAAUAAUAAUAUCCUCCCUUUGAGAUUACAUCAACAGGGUCCCAUAUAUCAAAAUGAAUAUAAUCCAGCACUCCUUUGCUAGUAGGAUUGGCUAUCUUGAACUUCACUUUACAUUGUUUACCUAUAACACAAAAUUUGCAAAAAUUUAAUUUACAAGUUUUGACUCCCUUUAGCAAUCAAUUCUUGUGGAGUUCCUUAAUACAAAUCUCACUGAUAUGACCCAAUCUCAAGUGUCAUAAAAGUGUUGUAUCUUUUAUUAGAUUAAUAGGUGUUGUGGAGAUGCUCAACCUAUAAUAGUGCUCCACUCAAGUUUAUAACUUUUCCCUUGUAAUAUUAUAGCUUUCAUCACUACAUGUGCUCCUUUAAAAACUUUUAGAAUCCCAUUUUCACUUUAUAAGUAAAACCAUUUGAAUCUAAUGUUCCCAAAGAGAUUAUAGUCUUCUUGAGAUCAGGGACAUGCCUCACAUUCCCAAAUGUUCUCACUAUUCCAUCAAACAUCAUGAUUUUUAUGGUACCAAUACCAACAACUUUGCACAAAGAGUCAUUGUCCAUUAUAACACAACUUGUAUCACAUAAUGUAUGUGUGUCAAACUAGUCAUCAUUUGGACAUGUGAUAUGAACAACCUAUGUCAAGAAUCCAAGAAUCUUCAAGAUUUUUAGUUGUUGCCAAAACUCAAAGCAUUUCACCACUACUGUUUUCAAUUUCUCCCUUUGCAACAUUUGCUAAAUCUGAAGAGUCACUUUUAGUGCUCUUCCCUAGGUUUCUUUUAAGAAAAUCUCUCCUUAAGUGUCCUUUCUCAUGACACUUAUGACAUUCUUGGUUUUUAAGUAGUUAGCUCUAGAUUUUGAUCUAGAAUAUGAUUUCCCCUCUCCAUAGACUUUCCAUUUUUCUUUGAUCUUCCUCUCUCUUUUCCUCCUUUUGUCAUCAAUUCUACACCUUACACAUCAUCAUAAUUGACUUGUCUCUGAUAAUAUUGCAGCAAGGCUGAUAUUACCUCAUCAUAUUUUAUUAUUUCCUUACCAUACAGUAAAGUUAUAAGUGCUCUUAGGAACCAAUGAGAGAGUUAAGAAGAUAUACAACCUUGUCUUCAUCUUCAUACUUCACAUCUAAUCUCAAUAGAUCACUUACGAUCUGAUUAAAAGAAUUAAUAUGUCAUGCAAGAUUAACACCUUCAGUCAUCUUCAGUCCAUAUAAUCUUCUUUUAAGAAACAAUUUACUCAUCAUUGAUUUUGACAAAUAUUGACCCUCUAAUUUCUUCCAAAUUUCAGAAGGUGAUUCUUAAUCAAGAACAUGAUACAAAACAUUAUCUACAAGACAUAAUCUAAUAGUGUUUGCAGCUCUCAUUUCAAGUUUUGCCCAACCAUUAGCUAAAACAUUUGUAGGCUUACCUUCUUUCCCCUGUAGAGUGACUACAAGAUCUUGCUGAACUAGUAGAUCUUUCACUCUUCAUUGCCACAAGCAUAAAUUAGAAGUACUAUCAAAUUUCUUAAUAUCAAAACGAGAUGAAGAAGAACUUGUCAUUUUCUUUCCUUGCUACCAACAUGGUUGUAAGACCACUUGUUGUAAAUUAGUCAAGAAGAACAAGUGACAGAAAAUAGUAAAAUGUUGUAGAGAGAGAUUGUAAUCAAUAUCUUGAUAUGAAUAAAGAAACAAGAUGCAUGAAUCUUGACAAUGAGACAAUCAAGAUUCUAUAAGAGAUCAUAGUAAUUGUUCCUAUAAUAGUUCUUAAUAAUACUUACAAUCUUCUAUUCACUAACCUUUAGGAAUAGCAACCACGAGCUCUCCUAUUUUGUCUAUUUUGCUGUAAUAAUCUUUGUUGCAGACUUCUUAUUGUAGUCUUUCACAAGGAUGAUACAACCUGAAAGUACAAGCAAAAAAUAGGCAAAAAGGAAAGGGAGAUCUCUCAACGGAGAAGAUACAAAUGAGAGCAGAAAUAAACCCUAAAUCGCAACAAUUUUUGUAAAACAGUUUCUCGCAUUGCUCAGAGAAUAGAGCAUACAGUCUGCUUUAUAUUUUCUCUCCACAAGAGAGAGUUACACAUUUGUCCCUCUGUAUUGGCCAACAGAGACUCUUAACAAAAGAGCCUAUAUUGUUCAUAUUGGGCUUUUAAUUUGAAACCCAUAUUACUGAGAUAUUAUGCCAUAUCUCAACACGUCCACUGCUGCUACUUGAGCUGGCAGUCUGCCAGGUCGUAGCGGAAGCCACAGCAGCCAAAGAUGGAUAGGAAAACCCACUGGAGGUACAGAGGAGCUCACCGGAUGAGUUUGGAGGUACGGAUAGGCUCUAAUUCCAUUGAAACUCGAUGUCAACUGACAGAAGGAUGAAUCUACCUAGAACGCCUUUUCACCUGCCCCUUGUUUCGGGCCUGCGUGGUUUCUAGUUGAUUGGAGAGAUCAGAGGAACCCAUCCUAAUUCGAUGAGAAAAAUGUCUUCUUCAUGAAAUUUAGAGAAGGGUUGACCUCAUGGUCGAUCGGGGGGAGAAGGGGGGGGUCAGCAAGAGAAGGCAGCGAUCGUGGGCGAUGGGAUGGAGAUGCUGCACCAUACUACCCGUGUUGACGGUAUUUGUUUGGAUCGAAGAUCAGAAAGAGGUUGAACGUGAGAAGGAUCCGUAUUUCGCUAAUUUUGAGAUUUACGAUCAAUGAAGCGUACGAAACCUGAGUGGGCUAUCCGGCAUCCAUCUCUUUUCUAUCACUAGAAAUCGGUUUUCUCUGAUUUUAGGAAUUCUAAAAAAUCUCCACUCAGGUUCCAUAGCUCGAAGAGCAGCAUCAAAGAGGUAAUGCGUAGUCAAGAACGGUGGGAUCAACUCGACCGGGGAGACCACUCAAGAUUGAUUAUUUAAGAAAGUUAUUUUUUUUAAGUUUCUGCAACUGUAAGCUUUUCUUAAUACUGAUAUGGUGAUGAGAACCUUCAAAUCAAGACUUGAGCUUUGCAAUCCCUUCGUAAGCUAAAAUAUCAGUCUCAGUUCUUUCUUCUGAAAUAUGCAUCAUAUGAUAAAUCAAUUGUAAUAAAGAAACUAUCAUAUAAUAAACCAAGAUUAUGGAUCCAAACGAAGGAACUUACCAAAUAACCGUUAAACCCCUGUUGAGUAAAUCGAUAAAUAUGAACCCUCGUGGUAGUACAUCCGGGUGCUAUGAAUGUGAUAACUCAAAGCAAGACCGCAUGCAAUGAACAUGAAGAGGCAAGUCAAGGUUACUCCAAUGUUCUAGAAUGAAGGAUGGAUCUAUAAAAUUUUUAGGGGCAUUUCUCCCGUAAUAGUAGCUUGAAAAGCCUCUCGAUGGACUCUUUCGGUGUUGUUACAAAUUAAAGUAUCCGAUCCUCUGGGCUCUGCUUACGAGGACUUUCAGGAGAUUUCUUGUUAUUUCUGCGCUUUGAAAAUAACUCAAAAGAAGGUUUGAGAGAACUAACGGAAUACCAAUCUUUCACUGAAUCCUAGCACGACUCAAAUGGCUGUAAAGUGUGUGGCCAACGGUAGCAGGUCCCACUAGCCAUAAACUAGAGAGGACGUCAGGACUCAAUUCCUCUCUAGAAUUUUUUUCUAUGCUAACUUUGUAGACUCCGUGGCAAUCGUCCCAAGUAUUUUUCGUGGAUGAAAUGGGAAGGUCAGCGUAUUUAUAUUUGACCAGGUAUUCCCAUCAUUGAUGGAUAUAGAGUCUACUGUCUAAGCUUAGCAUAAAAUUAGGGAGAAGAGAAAACGAUGUCAACCUGCAGGUGGCCCUACACCUUAACGUUGACCUACUUAUAUUCUGUGUCGACUGGCCAUACUGCAACCUCUAUGCCUAUAGUUCUAAACCAGACUUACAAAGAAUAUAAAUCCUUUCAACAGAAGAAAUUAGGUUUACAAAAUCAAAAUUUUAAUGAUAAAACAUCUUGUUAGAGUGUGGAUUUCAAAACUAGGGUAGUCAAUUACAAUGCCUUCCAGAAACUUUUACAACAUCUCAUUUUAUAUUAGUAUUACAAGUUUAAAGAACGUUUGUUGUCUGUCGAAUUCGAAAAUGAAUCUCACAUUCAAGUAUAUCUGAAGUCUUCCUAUUACCGCAUUGAACGUGGAUGUGGUGCAGCAAUAAAUGGAUCCAUCCAGGUAUUCCCCAUACCUUGUUCACCUCAAACGAUACCGACCACUAGAGGGCUUGUCACAUUAUGAACCAUGUCCGACCAUGUUAGCUUCCCAUAUACGUAUUCACAAGCCACUGCACCGACAUUGGCUUCCAAGGUGACAUUAAAUGACUCCUGUCCAUACUCGGCAAAUACGAUGCUCUCUGGAACCACCGUCACCGAUACACCGGGCGGCGCAUUCACCUGCACCACAUACUUGCCCAGCGUGCCGACGUUUUUCACCUUCCUCCAAACAGUCGUCCGACCAGAGAGACGUGGUAUCAUGAUGGACGGAUAGUUGAGGUCCAGGAGCCGGCAGGGGUUCAGCUUGCACGAGAAGGAUGUCCUGGAGAAGGCAACCACCUAACUGGAGCUGUAGUCGAUGGCGCAGAGGAACUCGAGGUAGUCCUCCUCUGCCAAAUCGUAGACCAGACCGGGGUCCAUCACGCGGUUCGGGUCAACGUGCCCAGCGCCAUAGCUGAACGGGGUGGCAUUGAAGAAGAACGAGUCUUGAUGCAGGGGUAAAAUUAAAAAGGUAGGAUACUAACGACUUGUGAGAGUUUUAUCAAAACAGAAACAUCGUUAUGGUUCAAAAUCUCCCGCAAUAAAACGAAGGACCGAGUGGUUUAAGAAAUCUACUAACUAGGGUACCUAAAUUUAACAGAUCAGAAAAAGUUUUAUCAUGGGGAAUGAUCAGCCAAAUAUAAAAGGUGGCUAUCCUAUGGUUCUCUCAAGCGACUAUGGCAAGAGAAUAUAUUAAAAAAAACAAUUGACUAGGUAACUGAUAGAGAAGUUUAGAAAUUAUACUUGAGCCUUGGUAGGAUUCCUGACUCUUGAAGUUGACCAUUGACUGGCAUGCGAUUGUUGACCGUUGACCCUAUUGACUGUUGACUAUUGACCAUGUAGACCAGACCGUUGGUCGUGGCAGCUCGCAGCUGGGGGCGGAAAAGCUUGACCAGUGCGGCCAGGUGAUUCACGCCCACAGAUUUGGGCACAAUCGGUCCAACAGGAAUAGUGGCUGUUGGCCAGUUGAGGUGGGCUAGGGCUUCAGGCCAACGAAAAAGUAACCCUAGCUAUAAAUGUGGUGAUACCCGUGGUAGGGAGAGAGGGAUACGGGGGGAAGGUGGCGACGACGGAGGACGGAAGGCCGAUGGCAAAUGGCAGAGGGCGACAGUGGUCAGCAGAGGUAGGCGGCGACGGCGGAAGGUAGGGACAGGAGUCGGCGGCGAACGGCAGAGGUCGGCGGUGGUCGGCAGAGGUAGGCGGCGACGACGGAAGGCGGGGACAGAGUCAGCGGCGAACGGUAGAGGUCGGCAGUGGUCGGUAAGAUCAGCAGUGAAAGGCCACAAAGAGGAGGCAGAAGAAGGCAAUGACAGUUGCUGGAGGGUGGCCGGUGGUGGGGAAGACAAGGGGCAGGCAGCAGCAGCAAAAGGGAGGUGAUGAAGGUGACGAAGGCAGGUGAUGUGGUAUCGGUGGCGCUGCGAGUGGAAAUUGAUGGCGAUAGAAGAAAGAAGGGAGGGCGAAGGGUACUCCAGACCAGGAGCAGCGGGGUCCUCCGACCAACCCAAGCCGGGGCGACGAGAUCUCACGAUUAGGUAAGGAAGAAACUCUCCAUCUAAUUCACUGUCAAACUAGAGGUUUGAGGGCCAAUUUAUAGGCCUCUCUACACGAAAUAAUAGAAAGUUAAUAGUAAAAGAAACCUUCUAUUGUGGAGCGUUUCUUUUGGCGGUAUGGGCGAAUGGCAACUAGAUCAAGGGUAACGUCCACACCUUCCUCAAUAUUCCCUCCUUCAAUUUGAUUGGAUCCUUCUUUAUUUGAAGGGCUAUUAAGAUGUGAUUCACUGAGGGCAUUAUUCUCGUCUGUCAUUUCCUUGGAAUCACUUUCCUUCGUUAAUGGGCUCUUGACGUGUGCUGCAUCAACUCUCCUGGGGUUAGAAGAACUCGUCUCCGACGAGUAAGGGUCCACAACAGAGGUGUAUCGCUUCCAAACACUUUGAUCGAGGUGUUGCAAGUCUUCUCCUGAAAUCCACGAGUCAUCCAAAGAGGGACGCCCUUUCCAACGAACAAGAAAUCUGUACAUUUCUCCAUCAGUAGUAGAAAUCAAUUGUUCAGUUAAUAUACUCUCUAUUUGCUCAUGUCGCAAUGGAUAAAUGGCUGAGGGGCAUGUUGGUGUGGUGUCACUCGCAAUAGGUGGGUUAGGCCCAAUCAACUCACUAGGAAUAUUCAGUGAUCCAUGAUAAGGAACAAGAUCUGAAAUGUUAAAUGUAGAACUGAUUCCCCAAUCAAGUGGAAUAUCUAAAACAUAUACAUAUGAUCCAACUCGUUUUAAAAUUGCGUAAGGCCCAGCAGCUCUAGGAUGAAGCUUAGAGGCGGUUCCUGGAGGGAAGCGACCUAGGUGAAGUCUAACCAUGAUGAGAUCUUCGAUUUGAAACUCUUUAAAUCAUUUGUGACUAUAUGCUAAAUGUUUGUAAGAGUCAUUAUUAAUGCUAAUGCGACGUUGGACUUCUACAUGUAAACUUUCAAUAUGUUUGGCAAAUGACUCAGCUUCAAUAGAAGGUCUAUAAUACUCAAAAGGGUCUCAUAAAUCAAUAGGAUUUCUAGGCUUAAACCCAUGUACAAUUUCAAAAGGACUUAGUCUAGUGGUUCAGUUGAUAGAAUUAUUAUAUGUGAACUCAGCUUGCGAGAUGAUUAGGUCCCACACUUUGGGAUGUUCACCUACUAAACAUCUUAAUAAAUUACCUAAACUAUGAUUAAUGACCUCAGUCUGGCUGUCUGUUUGCGGGUGAAAAGCGGUUGAAAAUUGGAGUUUAGUACCCAUCAUAAACCAGAGUGUCUUCCAAAAAUAACUCAUAAAUUUGGUGUCUCGAUCUGAUGUAAUGGUUUUAGGUAAUCUAUGUAAGCGUACAAUGCAAUCAAAAUAAAGUUGAGCAAUUUUCGAGGCAUCAGACAUUUUAAAACAAGGAAUAAAAUGAGCCAUUUUAGAGAAUCGAUCAACUACAACAAAAAUAGAGUCAUUUUUUUUGAGGUACGUAGGAGUCCUAAAACAAAAUCCAUACUUACAUCAUCCCAAGGGUGAUGAGGGAAUGGGAGUGGUGUAUAUAAUCUAGUAUUUUGUUGUGAAAAUUUGGUUAAGACACAAGUAUGACAUUGAGAGAUAAGUUUUGCGAUAUGUUUUUUCAUAUGAGGCCAAAAGAAUCGUUCUUCUACUAGGUUAAUAGUUUUGUCCCUCUUGAAAUGUCCUACUAACCCUCUUGCAUGUAUUUCCCAUACUAAAAAAUCUCGCAUGGAUGAGCAUGGAAUACAAAGGCAGUUAUUUUUCUAUAAAUAUUCAUUUUGUAAAACAUAGUCUGGGUAUUUAAUAGAAGGACCAUCUCGAAGAGCUAAAAAAAUAUGACUAAAAUUAGAACAAUCAAUAUAUAACUCUUUUAUUUUAUCAAAUCCAACAAUUUUAGGUUCUAAAGUAGUUAUUAAAUGAAUCCUACGGCUUAAGGCAUCUACGACAUGAUUCUCACAUCCAAGUUUACAACGGAGGACAAAAGUGUAAGCUUGAAUGAACUCUACCCAUCGAGCAUGUCUAGCAUUAAGUUUUUGUUGGGAUUGCAAGAAGCGUAGGGCUUCAUGAUCUGAAUAGAGAACAAAUUCUUGAGGAAGUAAAUAAUUCGUCCAAUGACGAAGGGCUUGCACUACAACAUAGAACUCUUUAUCAUAUGUGGAAUAUUUAAAUCGAGUAUCAAUUAAUUUUUCACUAAAAUAUGCUAUAGGAUGUCCUUCCUGACUUAGUACUCCACCUAUGCCUAUGCCAAAUGCAUCACAAGUUACUUCAAAGACUUUAGAAAAAUCUAGAAGUCGAAGAAUGGGUAUAGUGGUCAUUUUUUCUUUAAAUAUUUGAAAUGCUUUAUUAGCUUCUUUGGUCCAUUUGAAGAUGUCACCUUUCAUGCAAUUAGUAAGAGGGGUCAUAAUAGAACUAAAGUCUUUAAUAAAUCAUUUAUAAAAAGAAGCUAAUCUAUGGAAACUUCUUAUAUCAUGAAUACUUUGGGGAAUGGGCCAUUCAAUUAUAGCUUGGAUUUUCUUUGGGUCUAUUGACACACCAAAUGAUGAUACGAUAAACCCAAGGAAAGUAACAUGAUCUGUAGAGAAUUCACACUUUUGUCGUGUCGCGAAUAAUGUCUCUUUUUGAAGAGUUUCACAAAUGAGAUGAAUGUGUGUUAAGUGGUCUCUUGAGGUUCGACUAUAUAUUAAAAUAUCAUCAAAAUAAACAACCACAAAUUUUCCUAUAAAAGGUUGUAAUAUAUGAGUCAUGAGUUGCAUGAAUGUGCUAGGUGCAUUAGACAAGCCAAAUGGCAUCACUAACCAUUCAUAGAGCCCAUCUUUUGUCUUAAAUGAUGUUUUCUAUUCAUCCCCAUGUCUAAUCUUGACUUGAUGAUAUCCACUUUUGAGGUCUAUUUUGGAAAAUAUGGUGGAUCCUACUAACAUAUCUAACAUGUCAUCUAGAUGCGGAAUAGGAAAAUGAUAUUUAAUAGUAAUUUUAUUAAUUGCCCUACUAUUGAUACACAUACGGCAUGAGCCAUCUUUUUUUGGUGUUAGAAGGGUAAGGACUGCACAUGGACUUAGACUUUCAUGAAUAAAACCUUUUUCUAAUAGGUUAGUGAUUUGUCAUUGCAAUUCUUCAUGCUCUUUAGGGCUAAGACAAUAAUGGGGUAAGUUAGGCAAAGACAAUCUAGAGAUAAGAUCAAUAACUUGCUAGAUUUCUCUCAUAGGAGGGAGUUCAUUUGGUAGUUCAUUAGGAAAAAGAUCAUUAAAUUCUUCUAAGAGAUUUUGCACUUCAAUAGGAUAUGAUAAUUGGUUAUGAGGUGGAGAAUCACUUAUUGAUCUAAGAUGUGUUAUCCAAAUGGGCGAUCCUGAUUUGAUUUCUUUUUGGAUAUCUUGAACACUAAUGAAGCUAAUACUAGGACAUUGUUCAAUAUGAUGAAUUUUGUGCGGUUGAGGAGAGAAUGGUUUCUAAGUUAUCUUUGUUCCCUUAUAAAGAAAUGAACAUAUAUUAGUUCUACCUUGUUGACUCACAUCUCUAUCAUAUAACCAUGGUCUACCUAAGAUGAUGCUACCUACAUCCAUAGGGAGUACAUCACAAAGGAUUUCAUCUUCAUAAGAGUUAACCUUGAGAGCUACUAAACAUUAUUUUUGAAUAGGGAUAGAGGUUGCAUUUAUCCAAGAGACUUUAUAAGGGUUAGGAUGAAGAGUGGUAGUAAGCCCUAAUCGUGUUACUGUAUCUUGUGACACAGCAUUAAUACUACUUCCAUUAUCAAUGAUAAGUUUGCACACCUUAGGGCCUUUUUAGACAAAAGUGUAAAAUAUGGAAGUUCGAAGGGGAUCAUCAACAGGUUGUGUGAGAAUGCAUCUAACAACUCCUACCCUAGACUCUUCUAUGUAAUUAAGAGCCAAAUUAGGGUCAGCACAAUACUCCUCUUCAGGGAUGGGGUCUUCUAUUUCUACAAGUCCUGUUGGUUCGAACUCAUCAAUGUAUAGGCUCCUGCUAGGGCAUUGGGUGGCUAAAUGCCCUAUUCCUCGACAUUUAAAACAUGUAACCUUUGAAGUAUUUCCUUGACGAGUUUCUAUCACUUGUUUCCCUUUGUCUAAUGGUCUAGUUUCUAGAUGUCGUGAGGAUUGCACUAGGGGUUGGGAAUUGUUUUAAAAUGUCCAACGUUGAGCAGGGAAGGCUGGCCGAGGGGGGGCUUGGGUUGGUGGUUUAUAAAAUGUAUCAAGAUCAAGUACGAGUUGGUAAGCCUCCUCAAGGGUGUGUAUAUUUCUCACACAAAAUUCUUUUCAUAGAUCUUCACGUAGUCCAGUUCUAAAAUGAGAAAGGAUAACAAUAGGGUCUUCAUUCACCCCACAAAUAUUAAGAAAAUCAUCAAAUUGUGCUAUGUAUUCAGUUGCGGAUUGACUUCCUUGUAUAAUUCGAUUCCAUUUAUCAAUCAUUUUUAUUGUGUAAUUAAUAGGGACAUAUUUUUUACGCAAUUUAUCCUUCAUCUCCUUCCAUGUCUCUAUAGGUUCUUGGCGACAAAGUUCUAAGAGGCGUUCAAUGUUUUUCCAAUAAGUUUUAGCAGAUCCUAUUAAUUUAAAAUCUGGGAAUCAAAUCUUCCUAGCUUCAGACAUAUCAUACCAUUUGAAGUAGCUAUCCAUAGAUGAUUCUCAAUCUAAAUAAUCCUUAGGGGUCUUGACCUCCAUCAAACAUGGGUACAUCAAUUCGUACAUGUCUAUAUGAUUGGUCCAAGUUAUUAGGUUCCUCAUUUUCCCGAAGUCUCCUAUUGGUGUUGUCUCUAGGGAGGGGUCUAUUAGGGGUGAAAACAUGUAAGUCUAAUUUAUCUAGUUGUUGAUUUAUAGUGGCCAUUUGAUCUAUUAAGUGUUGAGCCCAAGAUGAGAUGUGCUCUUCUAAUCUUUGUGGGUCUUCUAGUUGUGGGGUUUGUUGACUCUCGUCUAUUAAGUAAGAAGUUCCAGCUCUAGUAACCAUGAUUGUAGGUAGGUACCCUAGGCCUAUUGCUCUGAUACUAAAUGAUGUGGGGGUAAAAUUAAAAGGGUAGGAUACUAAUGACUUGUGAGAGAUUUAUCAAAAAAGAAAUAUCGUUAUGGUUCAAAAUCUCCCACAAUAAUAAAACGAAGGACCGAGUGGUUUAAGAAAUCCACUAACUAGGGUACCUAAAUUUAACAGAUCAAAAAAAGUUUUAUCAUGGGGAAUGAUCAACCGAAUAUAGAAGGUGGCUAUCCUAUGGUUCUCUCAAGCGACUAUGGCAAGAGAAUAUAUUAAAAAAACAAUUGACUAGGUAAUUGAUAGAGAAGUUUAGAAAUUAUACUUGAGCCUUGGUAGGGUUGCUAACUCUUGAAGUUGACCGUUGACUAGUAUGCGAUUGUUGACCAUUGACCCUAUUGACUGUUGUCUAUUGACCACGUAGACCAGACUGUUGGUCGUGGCGGCUCACAGCUAGGGGUGAAAAAGCUUGACCGGGGUGGCCAAGUGAUUCACGCCCACAGAUUUGGGUGCAGUCGGCCCAACAGGAAUAGUGGCUGUGGGCUGGCUGAGGUGGGCUAGGGCUUCAGGCCCACAAAAAAGUAACCCUAGCUAUAAAUGUGGCGAUACCCGUGGUAGGGAGAGAGGGAUAUGGGGAGAAGGCGGCAAUGGUGGAGGAUGGAAGGCCAAUGGCGAAUGGCAGAGGGCGGCAGUGGUCGGCAGAGGUAGGCGGCGACGGCGGAAGGCGGGGACAGGAGUCGGUGGCAAAUGGCAGAGGUUGGCAGUGGUCAGUAGAGGUAGGCGGCAACGACGGAAGGCGGGGACAGAGUCGGCGGCGAACGGCAGAGGUCGGCGGUGGUCGGCAAAAUCAGCAAUGAAAGGCCACGAAGAGGAGGCAGAAGUAGGCAAUGACAGUUGUUGGAGGGCGGCUGGUGGUGGGGAAGACAAAGGGCAGGCAGCAGCGGCGGAAGGGAGGUGAUGACAGUGACAAAGGCAGGUGAUGUGGUACCGGUGGCGUUGGGAAUGGAAAUUGGUGGCGAUAGAAGAAAGAAAGGAGGGGGAAGGGUACUCUAGACUGGGAGCGGCGGGGUCCUCUAACCAACCCAAGCCAAGGCGACGGGAUCUCACGAUCAAGUAAGGAAGAAACUCUCCAUCUAAUUCACUAUCAAACUAGAGGUUUGAGGGCCAAUUUAUAGGCCUCUCUACAUGAAAUAAUAGAAAGUUAAUAGUAAAGGAAACCUUCUAUUGUGGGGCAUUUCUUCUAGCGGUAUGGGCGAAUGACAAUUGGAUCAAGGGUAAUGUCUGCACCUUCCUCAAUAUUCCCUCCUUCAAUUUAAUUGGAUCCUUCUUUAUUUGAAGGGUUAUUAAGAUGUGAUUCAUUGAGGGCAUUAUUCUCAUCUAUCAUUUCCUUGGAAUCACUUUCCUUCGUUGAUGGGCUCUUGAUGUGUGCUACAUCAAGUCCAGUAUGAGAUUUCUCUAGUUGUUUUCGAUUGUCACUGCACAGUUUCAUACAAUAGGUAAUUUUGAUGAGAUGGAGAAGAUAAUGUCAUAUACACCUAGUUUGAUGGCCAGUUCGAGAAGUUCACCAGUAGUCAUGAUGGCCGACUUGAUCCCAGCUGGGCUCCAAUAUGGGUGGAGAGUUUUGAGUAGGCUGGCGACCCCACUGAUGUGAGGGCACGACAUCGACAUUCCAAAUAUUGAAUUGAAUUGAACCUUGCAAGCAUCGAAGGGUUUGUUGGAUUGGCCAACUGCCUCUGUGAAGGCAGCAAGGAUGCUCACACCUGGCGCGAUGAUAUUGGUGGAGCAUGUACCCAAGCUCCACCAAUGAAGGCAACGACAUCAGAGGAUGCCACGUCAUCUGCAGCCAUCCCACGUCGUCACUGUCGAACUCAACUAAAGAAUCCGAAUUUCUUUUAUUAUUAGGCUUAACUUUCACUCAUUUUGCUUGAUCUUAUUGUAGUCUUCUUUUUCCUUCCAAGGCCUAUAAAUAGGCAUAAGAAUUCCUUAAACUAGUGGCUGAUUUUUGGAUUAAGAAAUGUAUCUUUCCUAAGAACGUGUCCUAGAGGAUUUAUGCGACUGCCACUGCCUAUAGCCACCACCGCCGCAUAGGUCCCACCCUGCUCCAAGGUCAACCUUCCCUCUCUGGACGAACCCUCCACCAGCUCUCGUGCACUCCUCUUUGUGCUGACGGCCUCCCGUCAGUUCACUGAUCGCACACGGCGGACUUCUUUCUGCACCCGUUCGUGAGACCUAACCAUCUCGACACAUGAUGGAAUGCCCUGCAGCCACGAAUGUCUUCUGCAUCAGCAUCAGGCAUCCACCGUCGAGGAACGGUUCCGCCGGAUCGUCAUCCACACGCGACAAGCUCCUCUCCGCGGCAUCCGUGCGAUUCCUCGCCCCGCAGCCACGGACAUCCUCCACGACAACAUCAAGCAUCCACUGUUGAGGAACGGUUCUGCCGGAUCGCCGUCCGCAUGCGAUGAGCUCCUCUCCGUGGUGUCCACACGACUCCUUGCCCCACAGCCGCGGACGUCCUCCACAACAAGGUCAAGCGUCCGCCGUCGAGGGACGGUUCCACCAGAUCGCCAUCUACAUGCGACGAGCUCCUCUCCGCAGCAUCCACGUGAUUCCUCACCCCACAGCCGCGGACGUCCUCUACAUCAGCACCAAACAUCUGCCGUCGAGGAACGGUUCCCACCAGGUCGCCAUCCCCAUGCGGCGAACUCCUCUCCAUGGGCCUUCGCAUGACUGUUGCCGCCCUGUCGCACCCAGAGUAUCCCGCACGUAGCAAACAUGCCAAGACCCUUCAUCCUCUGCAACAGCCUCUAACCCUUGUCGACUACCGUGCGUGCAUUGCACACCUUGCUCCUGUCGUCUACCAGAUUUGGUUUCGGGGCGCUGCCCCAAGCCCCGCAAGGGGGCGGCUUCCGCCAACUGACCGUGUAGUUGGAUCCGUGACGAGCUCGCUCUUCUCCAAAGUAUCCUCAACGUCAACUCUUCGGUGUUCAAACGCCCAAGGUCCACUCUUAACCAUUUCAAUGAAUGUGUGCAUUGAUUUCAUCCUAUUUUUUCUCAUUUGUGUUUCCACUGCCAUCGGGUUUAGCCAUGUGAGCUCCUAACUAGUCAUGUGGGCUCGUGAUCAGCUGUGUGAGCUGUGUUUUCCUUGUUUGGAGGCCAACUAAGAUUUUGAAAUGUAGAGCUUUGAUUUAUCACGAUGAUUUGAGACGAUCCUCUAGCCUUCGACUGAGGAACAGAAUAGUCUUCUUACUAUCACGCAGCCAACUUUAAAGGUUCGAAUCUGAAUGUGUGUAAGUUUUGUGGCUUGCUAGUUAUUCAUCUAAUUUAUACCAUAUCACAUUUGUGUCAAUCAUAUUCGUCUUGCAUCAGAUAUGCAGCUAUAGGCAAUUUAACGGAGACUUUGAUGAGUUGGAGAAUACAUGCAUCAUUUACGUAUUGAAAAAGGUAGGAAAUAGAGAGAAGGAUGGAGCGAGUUAUUGAGACAGAGGAAGGGUAAAGAGGGUAGGAACAGAUAGACGAGAGAGAGAGCAAGAGCGAGAGAGAGAGAGAGAGAGAGAGAGAGAGAGGAGGGAGGGAGGAAGGANNNNNNNNNNNNNNNNNNNNNNNNNNNNNNNNNNNNNNNNNNNNNNNNNNNNNNNNNNNNNNNNNNNNNNNNNNNNNNNNNNNNNNNNNNNNNNNNNNNNNNNNNNNNNNNNNNNNNNNNNNNNNNNNNNNNNNNNNNNNNNNNNNNNNNNNNNNNNNNNNNNNNNNNNNNNNNNNNNNNNNNNNNNNNNNNNNNNNNNNNNNNNNNNNNNNNNNNNNNNNNNNNAGAGAGAGAGAGAGAGAGAGAGAGAGAGAGAGAGAGAGAGAGAGAGAGAGAGAGAGAGAGAGAGAGAGAGAGAGAGAGAGAGAGAGAGAGAGAGAGAGAGAGAGAGGGAGGGAGGGAGGAAAGAAGGGAGGUGGGAGGUAGGGAAGAAGAGUGAAACUGACAGAUAGAAACAUAGGAGACGGAGGAAAGAGAAGGUGUUACAGACAGAGAUGACUAGAGGGAAGUGCGAUAGAGGAUGGGGAAGAGAAGGAAUAAGAAAAAUGGUAGGAAGAUGACCUUGAGUAUCUUAGGGUUGAUAAGGUUGGGUCCUAGAGAUGAGAAAUAUGCUAUGAAAGGUGCCGGUUUUGAGCCCAAAGUUGUUGUUGGCAACCUGAUGUUCGCAACUAGGGACCUGCAACUGAGCAUGUCUUGUAAGGAAUAGUACAUGCAAGGAUAUGGUCCCAACCUUUGCAUAAAAGAUGACAUCUUUAUUUGUUUUAUCAUUAAUCUAAAAUAAAAGCCAAAGUAUUUAGCAUCGUUAAGAAAUUACAUAAUUGAGGGAUUUUUGACAAGAUUUAAUUGCGUGUCUUUUUACCUCACAUUCUAGAACUAAACAAUAAAUUUAAUUGAAUAAUCAUAAAAACCAUUUCAUAUUAAGAAGAGAACGAAACAAAGAGAUAUCAAAUAUAGAAAAAACUAGUCCAUCGUCACAUAGUGUUAUUACACAUUUAAAUGGUGAAAACUUAGGUUUCCCAAAAAUAUACCUAAUUCUGAGCCAAUUGAUUUAAUAAUGCCAUAAAAGCUGUUGCUUAAUUUCUAUCCAACAAGAUAGAACACUAACGCCACUCAUCCUUGACUUUAGAUACUUAAAUAUAUCUUUUUCCUUAAAUAAAUUUACAUAAACUAAUUUACAUGAGAAGUCAUGAAAUUAACUUACUUGGCGAAGUUCAUCUAAGCCGCAAGAGCGUCCCCGUCUUGAUAGGAAAGAACUAUGGCAGGGAGGGCAAAGGCCUUGGCUAUGAUGUUGUUUCCCUGAAUAGGGAUAUUCAGCAGAAGCAUGCCCACACCACUGGCUAGGAGCACCACCUGACUAUUCACUUCUCUAGUGACGUUCCCCGUAUAACAUACCACAAUCUUUCCUCUCACCUUUUGUGGAUUCAACGAUCCUAUGAAGCAGAGAGCACUGCGAUUUCCAAAUCCCUCCCCCUUAAUUAGUGACAGUCAUCAUGGUAGGAUAACACAAUUAAUGGAGGAAGCAACGUGGUGAUUCUCCUUACGCCUCGUCGAGCAUCGAAUUGAGAGCUCAAGUGUCCAAGGAGGUGAUCAAAGGGUAGAAGGUGCCCAGCAGGAGGAUGGUGUUGGAGAAGCUUUGAUCCUGCAGCAGUCAAUCAGAACUGAAGUAGAACAUCAUUACCCUUCCGACAGUCUGGUUUUAGUGACAAAAGUGACCGUCAACCUUAAGUUGCUUCCCAUCUCCGAGUACUACAUAAGCAGGAACUCUCAAUCAAUUGUGUAGGAAAAUAAAGAAAUAAACCUGCAAGAAACACACUGAUUUUGGGAGAGAAAUGGACGAGAGAGAGAGGGAGAGAAGAAACAGUUCGCGUGCUCACGAACCCUAGAAAAAGACAAAACGAUUUCAAUAUGUAAAAUAAGGAGAGAGAGAGCAUUUAUACUAAUAUUUAAUGGACUGACCAUUAUGGCCCACUAAAGACAUGACUACUAUGACCCACUAAAUAACAAAAACAAAGAGCCUAAUAAAGACAAAAUAAGACUCUUUUUGCAUUAAAUACUAACACCCCCUUAAUGCAAAAAUGUUUAAGACUAAGGGCUUUUCUAAAUUUCACAAACUUAGAAUGUCCCAACACCUUUGUAAAGCCAUCUACCACUUGAUCCAAUGUUGAACAAAAUUUUAUUUCUAUAAAAUCUUUAACAACUAAAUCUCGAAUAAAACAGUGCCUUAUCUCAAUAUGCUUCGUUCUUCCAUGAAAUAUUGGAUUCUUUGUUGCAGAAAUAGUUGACACAUUGUCACAAUAGAUCACUAUAGGUAUUGAUUGUGGAAUAUUGAUAUCUUGUAGAAUCCUUCUCAUCUAUAUUAUUUGUUGUGUAGUUAAUGAUACAGCAAUAUAUUCGGCUUCAGAAGAUGAUAGUGUUGUAAAUUCUUACUUCUUAGAAAUCCAUGAAAUUACACCUAAACCAAAGUUGAAAACAAAACCAUUUGUACUUUUUUUGUCAUCAAUAGAAUUUGCCCAAUCACUAUUUGAAUAACCAAUAAAGUUAAAUUCAACAAUAUGUUGAUAUAGAAUUCCAUAAUUAAUAGUGCCACGCACAUAUCGAAAUAUUCUUUUUGUUGCUCCAAGAUGAUGAAUAGAUGGUGAGUGCAUAAACUUUAAAAUCAUACUAACUAAGAAUAAUAUAUCCAGUCGAGUAUGAGUCAAAUACAUCAAACCACCAACAAUACUUCUAUAAAAAUGUUCAUUUGUUUUUGCAGUUCUAUCAUCAAGACAUAAUUUGUCAUUUAUAUUCAUAGGAGUUGAGCACGUCUUACAAUGAAACAUAUUAAACUUUUUCAGCAAAUUACAUGUAUAUUUCUCUUGUGAAAUAAAUAUAGUAUGAUCAUUUUGAAUAAUUUGAAGUCCAAGAAAAUAUGAAUCACUCCUAAAUCUAUCAUAUCAAAUUCAGCCAUCAUACCAUUCUUGAAAUCUAAAAUUAGUGACAAAGAAGAUCCAAUAUAUAUAAUAUCAUUAACAUAAACACAUACUAUUAAAAUAUCGUCAUCUUGGGUCUUGAUAUAAUGUGUUGGCUCAUUUUCACUUCUAUGAAAAUGAUACUUGUGAGAAUAUGAAUCAAGUCUACUAUACCAUGCUCUUGGUGCUUGUUUAAGGCCAUAAAGUGUCUUCUUCAAUUUAUACACUUUGUUAUCUCUUCCUUCAAGAAUAAAACCUAGUGGUUGGUCAACAUAUACAUCUUCAUUCAAAUAACCAUUCAAAAAUGCUGAUUUAACAUCAAAUUGAAAAACUUUCCAUUUCAUUUGAGUUGUCAUGGCUAAAACAAUAUGGAUUGUUUCAAAUCUUGCAACUAGAGAAAAUAUUUCAAAAUAAUCAAUACCUUAUUAUUGUGCAUAUCCCUUCACUACUAACUUUGCCUUGAAUUUUUGAACAUUGUCAUCCAAUUUGUACCUCACUCUGUAAACCCACUUGACUCCAAUUGCUUUUGUCUUUUGUAGUAAAUCUACCAACUCUCAUGUGUCAUUCUUCUCAAUUGCUAUAAUUUCUUCUUCCAUUGUCUUCUCUUAUUCAUCUUUGCCUUGUGCCUUCUCAUAACUUGCUGGUUCUACAAUCAUAAAAGUAAAAACACAUAAUUCAUAAAUAUCACAUAAAGACUUCAUCUUUCUUGGAGGGCUUGAUAAUUCUAGACUUGAAUCAUUUUGAUCAUUAACACUAAUUGCAUUUCUUAGAUAAUAUCUUGAAGGUGUGACACAUGAAGUAGAAGCUUCACCUAUUAAAUCUUUAUCAUUUUGCAUAAUUUCCUACCCAUUUUCACCAAAAGAAUUUUGACAAAUUGAGUCUAUAUUCUAAUUCCAGCAAACAUAUUCAUCAAAUAUAAUAUCAUGAUGAAUCACUGUAUCUAAGAAAAAUAUAUUUUUCACUCUUUUUGUCCAUCUUACCACCAUCAUAAACAUCAAUUAAAGCAAAACAUAUACAACCAAAUACUUUUAAAUGAGUAACAUUAGGCUUUCAAUGAUACCAAGCUUCAUAAGGAGUCAUAUUCAUCACUACUUUUGUAGGAGAAAUAUUCAAAAGAUAAAUAAAAGUUGUAAUGGCUUCAACUCAAAAAUCAUUAGGAAAAUGCUUCUCACUAAGCAUACUUCUAUCCAUUUCCACAAUAGUUCUAUUCUUUAUUUCAGUAAUACCAUUUUGCUCUAGAGUCUUUCUAAUAGUGAGCUGUCUUUUAGUUUCAUACUUCUUACAAAAUAACUCAAACUCAUGAGAAAUAAAUUCUCCCCCUUGAUCUAUUUGAAGAGUUUUAAUAACAUGUCCACUUGAUUUUUCAGCAAAAACUUUUAAAUAAAUAAACUUCUCAAAUGCUUUAAAUUUAUGAGAAAUAAAAUAAAUCCAACUCAUACGUGUGAAGUCAUCAAUAAUCAAUAAAAAAUAUUGACUACCAUUUAAGGAUAAUGUCCUCAUUGAACCACAAAAAUCAGCAUAUAAUAAUUUAAGAGGAAACCUUGCUCUCCAUAAUUUGUCAAUAAGAAAUGAUAAUCGAUGUUGUUUGCCAUAAACACAUCCUUCACAUACUUUGUCAUUUGCUAAAAUAGAAGGUAAACUAGCAACCAUAUACUUGUAAUGUAAUCAUUUCAAUGAAUUAAAGUUUAAAUGACCAUAAUGCAUAUGCCAAAGUAGAGAUAAAUUAUUUUCUUCUAUAAUCAUACCAAAGUCAAUAAGCCUUUAAAUAUCUAAAGGAAACAUCCUCUUUCCAACCUUGGGAAUCACCAUUGGAGUCAUACCACUCUUCUUAUGCUUGAUAACACAUUUAUCAUCUUCAAAAUAAACAACAGAGCCACAUUCCAAUAAUUGACUCACACUAAGUAAGUUAUGUGUCAAUUUUGGAACAAAAUAAACAUCAUGAAUUAAUGUAUUUGCUCUUGAUUUAGUGUGAAUAGUAAUAGUACUAAUGCCUUCAAUUUUCACAUUAUUUCCAUCACCAAUAGUAGCAUCACAAAUCAUAGAUGUGUCUAUAUUCUGAAAUAAAUCUUUUUCCCCUAUCAUAUGAUUGCUGCAACCACUAUUAAUAAACCAUAUAUUUGAUAUACUUGAACUUGAAGAAACAUUAGUGAUAAAUAACUUAUUUUCUUCAACAAUAUUUACUUGCUCCUUUUUCUUGUCCCAACAAUUUGCUUCAAUAUGAAUAUACUUCUUACAAAAAUUACACAUUGGUUUAGAAUUUCAUUCUCUCAUAUUUUCUUGUUAUUUUACCUUUUCAUAACAAUAUGCUUCAAUGUGACCAUAUUUCUUGCAAAAAUGACAUUGCAUAACUUUGUAAUUUGGUUUCUGAUUUUGCUGAUUUCUUCUAUCAUUUCUUUGCUACCCAUGAUAUGAUAUAUCAUAUCCUCUUCCACGGCCUUUGUUUUGAUAAUGUCUUCUACCACGUUCUCAUUAUGUAGAUGUACCUUCACUAUUUUUCUCAUUCUUUAAAAUUUCAACCUUUGCUUGGAAUGCUUACUCAAUAGAUUUUUCCUUUUGUCUACUAAUUUGUUCUUCAUGUGUUAACAAUGAUUCCUCCAACUCAUUUUGGAUAUAAAUAAAUAAAUCCUUAGAUUGUUCAAUGGCAACAAUAAUAUGAUCAUAUUUAGAAGGCAAACUUCUUAAAAUUUUUUCAACAAUCCUUUUCACUAAAAUAUCUUCACCAAAUGUUCUCAUUUGAUUUAUAAUAAUAGCAACUCUAAAAAUGAAAUCAUGCACUAAUUCAUUUGAUUUUAUAAAAAUAUUUUAAAAUUCUCGAUGAAGAGUUUGAAGCUUCACAUUUAUAAUAAUACUUUCACCAUGAAAUUCAUCUUUCAAAAUUUUCCAUCCUUCAAAUGAACUUGAUGCAUUAGUAAUUUGUGAAAAAAUAGCUUCUGAAAUUGAUUGUUGUAGAACUAAUAAUACCUUAGUAUCCUUUUUUCGAAAUUCCUUAUUUUUUUGUCUUGAAAUCUCUCCUUUCUUAUUUCCACUCUCAACUAAUUCCUAUAAGUCUUGAAAAACAAAAAAUGUCUUCAUUUUGAUACUCCAAAAAUCUUAUUUUUCUCCAUUAAAAAAUGGAACAAAAGGCUGUGACAAGUUUAGAGGAUUAUCAUUCAUCAUUUUACUGUUAUAACAAUUCCUCUCCACAUAAAUGAUGAUUCUGAUAUUCAAAAUAUUUGUUACGGCAAGAAAUCUUCAAAAACCCCAAAUAUUUUUCACAAACCUCGGAUUUAUCCUCUUCUAUUGUUGCUGAUCUCUCCACAGAAAAAAACAAUGCCCAAUAUACGAACUUGGCAUUCUGAUACGACUUGUAGGAAAAUAAAGAAAUAAACCUGCAAAAGACACUGAUUUUGAGAGAGAAAUGGACAUGAGACAGUGGGAGAGAAUAAAUUAUUCACACACUCACGAACCUUAGAAAAGGACGAAAUGAUUUCAAUAUAUAAAAUAAGGAGAGAGAGAGUAUUUAUACUAAUAUUUAAUGGACCGACCAUUAUGGCCCACUAAAUACACAACCACUAUGACCCACUAAACAACAAAAACAAAGAGCCUAAUAAAGACAAAAUAAGACUCUUUUGCAUUAAAUACAAACAAAUUGUACUGGCGGCCACAUUCCCUCUAGAACAUACCACGAGGAUCCCAUUCUUUACAGCGUGAAACGAUCCGAUGGCUAUCCCGUCUGUAAAGUAGUCCCAAGGAGGCCCGCCGACGGACACAAACAGCACGUCCACACCGUCAUAGAUGGCUGCGUCGAAGGCAGCGAUGAUGUCGGAGUCGAAGCACAGGGUCCCGUUCUCCGUCGGCCAGCAAACCUUAUACGCCGCCAAGCGGGCAUGGGGAGACCCGCCCUUGGCAGUGCCGUUUCCAAAGUCGAAGAGGCUGGCUCGAGGCGCGAAUGUGCCGCCGGCUGUGGAGAGGGUGUGAGCGCCGUGUCCGUCGACAUCCCGAGUCGUCUUGAAGCUGGCGUUCCUGGAGCCUACGGCGGCCACGUAGCCCUUGUUAAAAGAUCUGGCCCCUAUUAAUUUCCUGCAUCAACGGGGUUCCACCAUUCAUCCAUGCCGAAGGUGCCGGCCGCCAAAGAAAGCCUCACGAUUAUUUGGGCAAAUAUUCCUUCCUUAAAUUCUAUAAGAAUUCAUCCGGCAUUUUUAUAAUGGAUAAUUGAAUAUUCCACAUGGUAGCCAAUAACUACUUGAUCCAUUGAUGAGAGAGGAUAGAAGAACAUGAGGAAGGGAAGUACGCGGAACUACGACCAACCGACUGACAGCUUAACUAUGUUAGUGCGCAUAAGGAUGAUAACUAUAGAUGGUGGCUCAAGGAUAUUAACUAUGUUGAUCAUUGCAGCGUUUUCAAGUCGAAUUGGAAAGCUGGGUUCUGGCAUCGUACCUGUUGCACCGAAAAGGAUCGUUGGGGCCGUUCUCGCAGAUUCCCUUCCAUCUCGACGGGAGGGGGCCCAAGUUGUUGUCGUUGAAGCUUGCGGAUUCAGGCCACACCCCUUUGUUGAAGUCGAUUAUGGAAAAUAUCCAAAGGAUGAAUGGUUGGCAUUUAUCAAAAGAGUGGCUUGUUUCCUCUAAACUAAUGAAUAGAAGAGAGAAAAAAGAACCAAGAAAGAAGCGGAUGGGGGCAGCGAUACCAGUGUCAAGAUUCCCGAUGAUGGUGUCCUCCCCGAACCUCGCCUUCGUCCAAAUGGAGUCCGCCGGCACUGUGCCUUCGACCUCCAGUCCUAUGAAUUCCCAUGAACGCGUCGUGUGUAGUUCCCGUCCCUCGUUAGGAAACACCGUCACGACCCCCGGUGAGUCUACAUUUAUAUGUCGUCAAAGAAUGCAAAACAGGAGGUAACUCAGAAAUAAAGAUUAGGAGGGAAGAUAGAAGAUGGAGUCGUGGGAAUGGGUGAGAGAACGGCACCGUACUUGAUAUCUCCGUCGCCUCCUCCUCCUCCAGGAUUGCUGCGAACCCAUUGAUGUACCUCGCGUAGGAGUAGAAGGUGGCCUCUUGUGCCUUCUCCUUGCGGCAACAUAAUUCAUACAAGGGGACUGCUUAAGAUCUUCCCGAGAGAACCAGUAAAGCGGAGAUCAGAUAUCCAUGGUUUUGGAACUAGACUUUAAUCACCUGCCCAGGAAGGAUCCGAGAAACUCGUGAUGGGAGGCUGUGACCUCAUCCGUCUGGACCGAGAAACCUUCUCCUCGAGUUCGAGGAUGACUACCCAUGUACACAACAUACGACUGGAUCAUAGAAAUAGGAAUAUACUGUGCGAUGAGGAAAGAAGACGGCUGACUCGCACCCGAAGGAUGACAAGAAAAAUACUAGACAGAUGAUGCCUGCCUUUCUGACAGCGGAUGCAGGCGCCGGCCACUGGGAACAUAGGAAAAACCACAGAAGUGAGAAAUAAACAAGGCGAGAAGAACGCAUUUCCGGAGAUCCUGUUCCCUGACGCUUCCCUAGCUCUGUUCAGCCCCUCGAUAGGAGGAAGCAUGGUGCUCCUCUCUAAUGUAGACGAAAGCCUAAUUGAAUUUUUCGAAGUGCACAUCAAUUGACAGGUACUAUGAGAAGAAUGGACCCUGCUGCUUAAUUCUAAGAGAUAAUGAAUUAUAUGGGCUAAACGCCUUGGUCGUCACUGCAAUUUUGAUAUCUCUACUUGAAAUCCUUAGACAGCGACGCAACAUUUGAGAAGAGACUUCUUAUGAGUUGUUAGCCAACCAAUGGCGUUCCCUUCUCUUAUUUUACAGUUUACUAUAGAGAAACUUAAAUUGUAUUACAUCACGUCGUAAUCGAUACAAAACGGCAUGAACGAAGUCCACGGAUAAGCGCGUUGACGCAGCUGAGACAGCUGAUCUGAUGCGACCUCUUUUGGGCAACUACCAUUUCCUUAAGGAACCAAAUCGCAGAUCACAUUACCCGAACCCGAGGUAAUAUUCAGGAGAGGGCAUGAUCAUCACGGGCUGCAGAAGAAGAAUGAUGCAGUCACAUAUUCCUCGCUAUAAAUGCUUUGAUCACCAUAGGCAGACGCUACUACGGCAACCGUAGGAUGGAAACAAUACGCGGGAAUCUUCGAACGUAAGCAUAAUUUCGAUGUUUCUGUCUCAAAUUAGGAACACUAUGCACUCGGAGAUAGAAUUUUUCUAAAAAAUUCAUUGUCAUUUACUUUCGAGUUUCCCCAGAAAUCAGGUAUUCUAGAAGUCCGAAAAGAAGAAUUGAAUGUUCAGAAUCAGGAAGCAUAUUUCACGGGAAUUAUUAUGCAUUUCGAGGUAAAUUAUCCUUUACCUUAGUAUCCAAAAUUGCAUAACCACGGUGUGGCGUUUUCACUCCUUAAGCAUCAAAUUUUCUCAAAAAUUCGGCAUACGAUCCUUUAUGAAUAAGGAUUAAGAGUAAAUAAUGAUUAGGUAGGGGAAGAGAACGCUAGUCGUAUAUUAGGUACAAAAAUGAAGAAAUGCUAAAUUAGUAUGAUGCCGUUUCAACAAUCCUCAUGCCACAUAGAGCCUAGUGAUUCCGACACAAUUUGGCUCAAUGUUUUAACCAUUUGUUCGAACAAGUCUUGAGACAGUAAACAUUUCUCAAUACUGGGUUUAUCUCCAAUAUUUUAAUCCCUUAAGAUCUCAUGCUUGUUAAAAAACAAACUUGACAAGCUUUCCUUGGAGAUCUUUUCUUCAGAUUAGCUUUAUCUCAAAAUUCUGAAAGCUUCAUAUUUCUUGCGUCAUCUAGCUCAUGCUGUUAACUUGAAUCAAUAAAGUCAAAUAGCCAACUAUCAUCACUAUUUACUUUUUUACAAAUACAAUGCUCAAAUUUGAAACAUGACUUAGGUAACAACAAAUCACUUUCAAACCCCUAGUUGAAUUUCUGAAGAUUCUUUUUGUGUACCUUACAAUCAUAAUAUUGUAGUAUUAAUUAAAUAAUACUUUUAUGAAGAAGAAAACAUAUAAAAAAGAUAAGUAGACCAAAUUAUGUUGUUUAUUCAAUACACAUAAAUCAAGCAUUAAUAUUCUUUAAGACCAUAAUGAAAUUAAUUAAGUGCAAAUUCAAGAAGAAUUCAAAGUAAUGAUAUUCAAUGCCUAAAUGGCAACUCAAGAAAUGUAUUUGAGUUUUAUGCUUUUGAAUUAUAUAAUUUGGAUGAAUAUACUAUUAUAAAAUAUUAAUUUAUUUUCCACAGUAGAAAAUGAUAUUUAAAAAACUUACCACUAAUAUAAAGUAAGAAUCACCACAUUGGAAUUAAUGAAACUUUUUGAAAUAAAAUAUGGGUAUUAAACAUUUUCAGUAUAAUAGAUGUCCAUGAUGUUCGAUCAUGACUUCAUAUUAUUCUUGACAAUGACUCAAUCAAUUAAAUUCAAAAUAUUUUAACAGGCCCAAUAAUUUCAUGAUAAUUAUGCAUAUUAUUUUCACAAUAUUUGAAUGACGUUUCAAGGAGUAUAUUUUAGUUUCAUGCUUUUGAAUAUCAGAAUUUGGACGAAUUUACUACUCAAAAUUAUCAUUUUGUUUAUCAGCAUGAGAAAUACUAAUUUUAUGAAUUUUUCAAACUAAUGAUUAUCACAUUAGAAUUCAUGAGGAUUUUUGAAGUAAAAUAUGGGAAUGAGAGCUUAUCUAAUAUUGGAUGCUCAUGACAUAAAAUCAUUCAUUCCAAUUAUUUUUGAUGAAAAAAUAAUCGACUAAAAAAAAUAUUUGAAUGCCCAUUCAUGGUUUACAUAAUACUGAUUAAGAUUAUCUGAAAAUUUAUUUUGAUAUUCAUAAGUCAUUGAAGUAAUGAUGGUUCCUAAUGAAAUCAUAACUUAAUGUCCACCUCAUAUUCAUGAUUUAUCGAAGGCAAUUUGUAUUAAUUUUGAAUUCAAAAUAAUAGCUUUAUUUUGAGAUAUAUUCUUGAUUCUAUUUUAAUGAUAAAACUUUCUUACCAUGCUCACUUGAACUAAUAAAAUUCAAAUAUAUGUGUUAGUGAUUAAUGGGUAUGCAUAUUAUUUUUUCUAAAAUGAUAUCUGAACCUUAAAAGAUGUGCUAUAUUAGUUUUUGAUAGUUUAAAUCCCUAAUUAAUUUUAAAAUUUUAACAUUGAGAAAUGUCAGAAAAUGUGAGAGGUUUUGAAAUAAAAUUUUCUAUAAAUCCAUCAGUCUCUAAGCGCUAAUUUCUUGAUGUUCGUCAUUCCUGACCUCUCCACCAUUUGGAGAAAUUUUAUAACAUUUCUCUAGGGAAAUAUGUGAGAGUUAGAGCAUUCUUUAAAGCUUGGUCAAACACAAACAAAAUGUGUUGAGCAAAAAGAAUUGAUAAGAAAAGUAAUUGUCAACAACUAGACUAAAGUGAUAACAUUUUAAACAUUUCUAUAGCUUAUUCUGUAAAUAAGAGCAAAAACUUAAGCAUAAUUCAGCAAUGUUUUCAUUGAAUUUUCAAAUGUAUCUCAAGUCAAUGCUAGCAAUUUGAAAGAUCACAUUAUUAUAUUCAAUCUUAUUUUUUGGAAAAAAUUUAUAAUUAAAUCUUGAUUUGAUCACUCAAGAGAGUUGAUCACUAUACUCAAGAGUGGGCUUGAUCAAUUCAUAAAUCUAGAGGAAAUUUUCGUAGUAAAAUUUUAUGCGAGUUAAACCAAAUAAUCAGUAGUUAUUGUGCUAAAUAGUUAGUUUAGUAGAAUCUAAGGAUAGGGUAUUCCUAUAACAUAGAUGUAAGUAAAAUUCGAAGCCACUCUAAAAAUUAUAGUACCAAAAUGGUAUAAAUUUAGAGGAUCUACUAGGAUACAUAAUCAAAAGAAUAAGAUCAAAUAAUCAAGAGUAAUUGACAAAAAUUCAAAAUUAGAAUCUAAUCAAUCCAAUUCCUUUGUUCUUGAACUAAGUCAAAUAUAAAAUCCAACGAGUAGUACAAUUUCAUCCUUUCUAGGUAGAAAAGAAUUUCUUUAGAGAGUUUCUACUUGUUUCAAAAUUAGUUUCUACUACCCACCAUUUUAACUCUUUAGAGUUUAGGAAAACUCUUACAUCUUCCAUAGAGAUAUCAUCUCUCUUGCAUAACUAAAAUAACGAUGAAAUGCUCAUACAAAAGAGUUAAUGAAUAGAGGUGAACUAGGAUUUGAGCAUCAUCAUCUACUUUAACACCAAUAUUUUUAAGAUCUAUGAAAAAUUUAGAGAACUCAUUUAGAUAAUUAGUAAUGAGUACACCAUUCUAAUUCAAAAAGUGAAGAAUUGUUUCUUUGUGUGUAAAUGUUUUGUGAGGUACUUCUCUUCGUAAUUCUACUUAGUCGGCAAAGGCUCAUUGCCUUAAGUUGCAUUGCUCAGUCUUUGUUGGACUAAUAGUAACUACAUUUUUAGUGUUCAAAUGUUAAAAUAUUUAAUCUUUCCAUCAAACACUUCAAAUCAUUCUUCAUUGUCAAUAUUUACUUUGUUCUCGUCACCAAUGAACACAGAUCAAAUCCCAAUCGAACUCUAAAAGUAGAUUGUUAAGACAAAUAACCACCCACCCAGCAAAUUAACACCAUAUUGAUCUGCAUGACAAGAAAUAAGGAGAAGGAAUGAGGAUCAACUCACACCAAAACAUGGACUACUGUCUAUAGGCAACAACGAGGAUGGGAUCUUUACUAGACAUCAAGAAGUUUACAUGAGGCUCUCACCUCUUUCUCAAGAAAUAUAUGGCAGCUCUCCUCUAACAUAAAGGAUAUGCAGCAGCUCUUAGCUCCUCAUGUCAGCAGGAUAGGCGGCAGCAUAUUCGUCCACCAUGACAACCACCAUCACCGCCACGAUCGCUCCUUAUUCUCCUCCUUUUUCGCUCUUAGGAUUUUACAAACAACAGACGCCACUAUUUGUAGUGGUUCAAGAGGCCCUCUCGGACCGCCCAAGAUUGAGGAAAAUGUCAACGCCGAAUACGGUCAUAUGACGACUCAUUUCCGUGAGAACUGCCUUGCCGAAAUGGGCCGUUUGUCAGUCCUGCACUUCCGUCUUGCUUGUGAAGGUGAGCCACAAACAACUCCCGUAGCAGGUGGAAUAGAACCCGACGGUUAUCAGAAGGAAUGAAACGGAAAUAAAAGGUGUCUGGAUCUCUUUCUUGGACUCAGUGUUGAAUGUCCUCCUUUGCAGCUAGAGAGAGAAGACCAAAAUGGAAGAUGUAGAAACGCUACCAUCUUUCUCUCUCACCAAGUCCAGCUUCUCUACUUCAUCACCCCACCUCUCACAACUCGCCGUAGUUCCCAUGCACCUCCCUUUUAAAGAGAGGAAUAAGAGGGAAGAGAAGACAAAAGAGAGAGAUGGGUUGAGAUCACAGCGCGGCCCGGCCCGGCAUAGGCGAAGUGCCCCGAGCUUCGUAGUCAAUGGGCCACAGCAGCUGACGCACAUCCUCUAAUAUGUGAGCCCACGAUAUAUUACCGGCAUCUUGAUUUAACCCUUUUUUAUUCGGCCAUAUUUCCCUAUAAUUUGCCUUUUUAUUGAAAAUAAAUACUUGCCUCCGUUGACUUCAGAUAGGACCUUGCGGCCGUGGACCAACAGGGUACUCUAUCGGCUGACAGCCGUAAAGGAGACCAGAGUCAACGCGGCCGCCUUCCGAUUUUUCUUUUGGCAGAGAGGUAGCUCCUCCGACAGAUCAAGCUCGCUGUGCGGGUCAACAGGCGGCCCCUGACCUGGUAGCGCCUCCGCCGAGCUUCUCACUUUCUGCGGCGGCGGGAAGAACCCAUGUCGUCGCAGACACGCCGUCACCCCCCGAGGACCAUGCGAGAGAUGUAAGAUCGCCUUCACCACGUCGUCAAGGGAGGGGCCCGGUAGGCUCUAUCCAUGAGAAUUACCGCAGAGCUCUAUCCCCCCGUCGUCUUCUCGGAGAUGAAAUAAUUCAUGGGCAAUAAAUAAUCAGAGGAUGCGAAGUAGCUGCAGAUCCCUGGAUCAUUCAGACCCAGGACCAGGAACAGCCACAAGGACAGGAGCAUCCCUUUCUUUGUUUAGUGAUGUGGGAUCAACUGUAGUUGGAGGACCACUCCUGUUUCCUUUUCUAGAGAGAGAGAGAGAGAGAGAGAGAGAGAGAGAGAGAGGAGGAGGAGGGAGGAGGNNNNNNNNNNNNNNNNNNNNNNNNNNNNNNNNNNNNNNNNNNNNNNNNNNNNNNNNNNNNNNNNNNNNNNNNNNNNNNNNNNNNNNNNNNNNNNNNNNNNNNNNNNNNNNNNNNNNNNNNNNNNNNNNNNNNNNNNNNNNNNNNNNNNNNNNNNNNNNNNNNNNNNNNNNNNNNNNNNNNNNNNNNNNNNNNNNNNNNNNNNNNNNNNNNNNNNNNNNNNNNNNNNNNNNNNNNNNNNNNNNNNNNNNNNNNNNNNNNNNNNNNNNNNNNNNNNNNNNNNNNNNNNNNNNNNNNNNNNNNNNNNNNNNNNNNNNNNNNNNNNNNNNNNNNNNNNNNNNNNNNNNNNNNNNNNNNNNNNNNNNNNNNNNNNNNNNNNNNNNNNNNNNNNNNNNNNNNNNNNNNNNNNNNNNNNNNNNNNNNNNNNNNNNNNNNNNNNNNNNNNNNNNNNNNNNNNNNNNNNNNNNNNNNNNNNNNNNNNNNNNNNNNNNNNNNNNNNNNNNNNNNNNNNNNNNNNNNNNNNNNNNNNNNNNNNNNNNNNNNNNNNNNNNNNNNNNNNNNNNNNNNNNNNNNNNNNNNNNNNNNNNNNNNNNNNNNNNNNNNNNNNNNNNNNNNNNNNNNNNNNNNNNNNNNNNNNNNNNNNNNNNNNNNNNNNNNNNNNNNNNNNNNNNNNNNNNNNNNNNNNNNNNNNNNNNNNNNNNNNNNNNNNNNNNNNNNNNNNNNNNNNNNNNNNNNNNNNNNNNNNNNNNNNNNNNNNNNNNNNNNNNNNNNNNNNNNNNNNNNNNNNNNNNNNNNNNNNNNNNNNNNNNNNNNNNNNNNNNNNNNNNNNNNNNNNNNNNNNNNNNNNNNNNNNNNNNNNNNNNNNNNNNNNNNNNNNNNNNNNNNNNNNNNNNNNNNNNNNNNNNNNNNNNNNNNNNNNNNNNNNNNNNNNNNNNNNNNNNNNNNNNNNNNNNNNNNNNNNNNNNNNNNNNNNNNNNNNNNNNNNNNNNNNNNNNNNNNNNNNNNNNNNNNNNNNNNNNNNNNNNNNNNNNNNNNNNNNNNNNNNNNNNNNNNNNNNNNNNNNNNNNNNNNNNNNNNNNNNNNNNNNNNNNNNNNNNNNNNNNNNNNNNNNNNNNNNNNNNNNNNNNNNNNNNNNNNNNNNNNNNNNNNNNNNNNNNNNNNNNNNNNNNNNNNNNNNNNNNNNNNNNNNNNNNNNNNNNNNNNNNNNNNNNNNNNNNNNNNNNNNNNNNNNNNNNNNNNNNNNNNNNNNNNNNNNNNNNNNNNNNNNNNNNNNNNNNNNNNNNNNNNNNNNNNNNNNNNNNNNNNNNNNNNNNNNNNNNNNNNNNNNNNNNNNNNNNNNNNNNNNNNNNNNNNNNNNNNNNNNNNNNNNNNNNNNNNNNNNNNNNNNNNNNNNNNNNNNNNNNNNNNNNNNNNNNNNNNNNNNNNNNNNNNNNNNNNNNNNNNNNNNNNNNNNNNNNNNNNNNNNNNNNNNNNNNNNNNNNNNNNNNNNNNNNNNNNNNNNNNNNNNNNNNNNNNNNNNNNNNNNNNNNNNNNNNNNNNNNNNNNNNNNNNNNNNNNNNNNNNNNNNNNNNNNNNNNNNNNNNNNNNNNNNNNNNNNNNNNNNNNNNNNNNNNNNNNNNNNNNNNNNNNNNNNNNNNNNNNNNNNNNNNNNNNNNNNNNNNNNNNNNNNNNNNNNNNNNNNNNNNNNNNNNNNNNNNNNNNNNNNNNNNNNNNNNNCAGGGGAUGCGCUUGUCCUCGUCAAAGGAGGAAAGGGUUCUCCCGACGAUGGAUAUCGCCUGCUCAUACGGGUUUGGGGAAUGGUUCAGGUCGUGCAGGCAGCGGCGACCAAAGGAAAAUUUGCCUGCAGAUUGCCAGAAACAUGCCGCAAUUAGUAAAUAAGCGAUCCCCAGAGCCAUCAAAGGAGGAGUAGCAACUUCUCAAGUGAAGGGACUAAGCAGUCGAGCACUCUGCGCUCAGCAAUUUAAACUAGAAAGCGAGAGGUUUGGCACCAAAUCUUGGAUGCCACUCCCCACCAUUAGCUCCUCAUAUCUGUGAGGUAUCAAGAUUCUAAAGGAGGGAUUUUUAUGAUGAUAAUGUGGGCUGGCUGAGUUACCCAAAUUGGCAACCAAACAGCCAUCCAAGCACAAAUUCGUCCUAUCAGCAUGUGAAGCAGUCCAAGAGAGAGAGAGAGAGAGAGAGUUUCCAGGAGAACCUGUCCACUCAUUGCUCUUAGUGAAGUCAACUCCCAGAAUCAUGUUUGAAGAUUCAAGCCCGGCCUGUGCGAGAGCGUCGCUCACCUGGGAUACAGAGGAUCGGAUAGCAACUCAGCCGCAGUAUUGAAUUCCUCCAAAAUCACAAGGAAAAAAUCUUGAUAACCCAGUUGGUAUUCUCUAGCCAAUAAGGAGGUAGGAGAUGGCGGGCCCCCUGGUUCAGCGAGCUAGCUGCACAGGGGGAGAGAUUACAGGGGCAACAGGGUGGGUACCUGAUCAGGUGACUGGAACCGCUGAGAGAUCCUCAGGUAAUCUAUGGGAUAUUCCCCUCCAUGAGCAGCAUCGACGCUCCUGCCAGACGAUGAGGCGAGGGAAUGCCUCCUGCUGUGCGCAGAAUAAUGGUGGCGGCGCGAUGCUCCCUUGGAGAACUUGAAACCCAUCAGCUCUCCCCAGAUUUAUGGCCAAGAUCCCUGCCAGAAGCAGCACAGACACAGCACCCAUCAGCGGAUCACGUAAACCAGCGGCAUGAAGCGGCUCUUUGCUCCUCUUUAGGAGGGAUCGCUCCUCCAUGAAUGCUCUCGUUUCCUCCUCCGGAGCAGCUGCUGGCGAGAAGCCCAGCUUCUCCUUUCUCCCCGCCUCCGAGGAAAUGGAUGAAGAACCCAUCACAUUAUAAUAGUAGGAGCCCUUGUCGGCUCGCGGGAGCCGGCUCCCACGCUCACCUGAGGAUGGCUGACGCUGCAGAGCGAGUUCAUCCAAGGCGGAGCUUUCCCCGUUCUUCGUCAACCCCAGAGAGAGAGAGAACAAGUCGGCCCUCCUCCUGCCUCCCUUCCCCCGCCACAACCUCCAGAGGUCCACAGCUGGAUCUUAUAUGAAGAAGAAGCAUGGACUCGGCAAGCUCUCCGAGCCAAGGGGCCGAAGAAGGCGCCGGGAAAUGAACGGGCUAGAGAGACGGUGACGAAGGCUGCUGGAAGCUAUGAGAACUGACGGAGAAGACUUAAUGGCGGCCAGUAUUAUAAUCACGCAGCAAAAGUAAACGAGAGGUGGAGUGACGAAGAGACUAACACAUGUCAACGCCGGAGGAGCAAGCGGUGGGGGUAAGUAGCAGAACCCAGAAGCUGCCUCGCGCCGCCAGCCGGCUAAUCUGCCGUGUUCUGACCAGCCGAUUCAAUGGUCGAGGAGCGCUCGCCCCUUUCACCGACGGCGGCACAGGGGAAAAGAGGAGAGCGGCGACGCGGUCGCCGUGGGAAGAUGAAGAUCGGCUCCGGCAGAAGGCGGAGGACGGUGACAGUGGCCGCCGAUCGUACGUCAGAACGCCCAGUCUCCAUAAGCACCACCUGCUCGUACUCGUAUUCAUGGACCAGUCGUCGCGAAGGGAGACUUUCUGGCCGGAGGGGAAGUCCGUCGCCGGUCGCUUUCCCCUCCUCCGGCGACCCGGCUUCCGAUCCCGUUCGCGUGGACGGCUCGACGUGAAUAAGGAUUUCUUCUUGCCGGAGAGGGGGGGCCCCGCCGCCGCCGACAACGGGCCCUUGCUUCACGCGCUCGACAAGCCGACGUCAGGGGGCCCCCGUCAAGGUGACGACGGCGAACUGUUCGCUGAAAUGUCCACGCGAUAAACCAUCGCAUAUCCCAUUCCCCCAGAGUCAACGACCGCGUUGCCCUCGAGAGCGGGAAGCUCCCCCCAGAUUAAGAUAAGUUUGACCUUUACCCCGGACAACUAUUAGUCACGCCGCUUUAUUUGUCAACUCCGUGUCUUCAAUUUAAUGAAAAUUAGGACAAAAUCAAUAUCCCCAGAUGAAAUUAGAGGAGGCCCACCGCCACAAGAGUCAUCAUAAUCUAUGAUUUCACCGUGGGUCCAAGCUCUUAAUUAAAAUAUUACCAAGUAAAUAGAAAUCGAAUAUUUAGGGUAUGAGAGUAAUUCCAAUGACGCCAUGCAAUCGACCAGCCACCGAAUAAGUUAUUAUAACGUUUUUAUGUCUUAAAAAUUUUGACUGACGAUUGCAGAGUCUUAAGAGCAUUAGUUUAUUCCUCAACUCUACGUCUUCAAUUUAAUGAAAAUAAGGAUGUAACUAAUAUUUUUAAUAUAUUGUUGACCAAUUCAUUUCCUCUCAAAAAUAUCAAGUGGUGAAUAAGAGAGUAUUAUUGCCAUAAUAUCCCUAGAUGAAAUUGGAGAAGGCCAACUGUAACAAGAACCGUCAUACUUUGUGGUUUCACCAAGGGCCCAAUUCUCACUUUAAAUACUAUCUAGUUGAUAGGAAUCAAAUAAUUAGAGUGUGAAGGUAAUUCUAAUGGCAUCAUGCAAUCGGCUAACACCUGAAUAAGUUAUUCUAAAAUUUUAUCUCUAAAUAUAUUGAUUGACAAUCACAAUGUCUUUUAAGCACAUUAAUUAGUUUAUUCCUCAACUGUGUCUAAAAUUUAAUCAAAAUUAGGUAAAAUUGAUAUUUUCUGUAUAUUAUUUACCGAUUCCCUUCCUCACAAAAUAUCAAAUAAGUGGUGAAUAAGAGAGUUCUGCUACUGUAAUAUCCCCAGAUGAAAUUGGAGAAGGCCUACUGCCCCAAGAACCAUCAUAAUCUAUGAUUUCACUGAAGGGACAACUUCCUGAUUUUAAAUAUUAUCUAAUGGAUACGAUUCAAAUAAUUAGGAUAUGAAAGUAAUUCUAAUGGCAUCAUGCAGUGGACUAACAACUGAAUAAGUUAUCCUAAAAAUUUUUAUCUCUAAAAAUGUUGAUUGACAAUCACAAUGUGUUUUAAGCACAUUAGUUUAUUCCACAACUAUGUGUCAACAAAUGAGUGAAAAUUAUUAUUGACCGAUUCCUUUCCUCAUAAAAUAUCAAAUAAGUGGUGAAUAAGAGAGUUUUACUUACAAAAGCCAUAAUAUCCCUAUAUGGAAUCAUCAAAAUCUAUGAUUUCACCAUCGGCCCCACUUUGCAGUUAUCAAUUCUAUUUAGGGGAUAUGGAUGAAAUAAUAAGGGUACCAAAAGUCAUUCUAAUGGCGUCAUGCAAUGGACUAAAUGUUGGACAUAUUAUUUUAAUUGUUUUAUCACUUGAACAAUAAUUGCACUGUGUCUCAGGCACAUUAUUCUAACAAGGUAUCUUAACUCUUAACUUGGCCCAGCUAUAAGUCUCAAGGGUCAUUGGAAUCACUUGUUAUGGGUUUAUUCAUUUGACUUCGCAUCUUCCAUGAUUGAAAAUUAGGACGUCAUUACUAUUUUUGUUUUAUAUAUUAUUGACUUAUUCAUUUCCUUUAAAAAUUAAAAUCAGUUCGCAAUAAAAGAGUUUUACUUCCAUAAUAACCUCAGAUGGAAUUGGAGAAGGCCACCACCACCGCCACACAAUCGGUCAUAAUUUAUGAUUUCAACAUCGGCCCAAGUUAGAAGGAAUAAUUAGGGUAUUGAAGAAUUCUAAUGACAUCAUGCAAUGGAGAACCAUUGAGGAUGUUAGAUAAAUAUUUUUAUACCUAAAAAUGUUAAUUCCCAAAGUAUUUUUAAGGGACACUAUUCUGAGACGUUUUCUUGUUCUAUUUUUCAAUAUUUAUGGAGAGUAAAAUGCAAAAUAUAAUUUAGAUUUUCUCCCUUUUUGUUGGGAAUGAAAUUUCAAUUAAGAAAAUAAGGUGACAACAAGAUUUGCUAUAAUAUCCAAAUCAGCGUCAAUAGAUUCCAUUUUUUAUGAAUUGUAUUUCCAAAGGCCGAAGUAAACAAUUAUAUUAACUAAUUUAUUGUCAUAAAAAGCACAAUCAAUUGGUAAAAACCAAUCGAGAGGAAAUUUAAAAAAUUAUCUUCACCCGUUUUUGUUAGAUUUAAGGAAUUAUACUCAGAACCAAAAGAUUCUCAUUUUUUUUGAAAAUUUGAAAAACGAUAUUAAUGUAGGGAGUUAUGCCAUAUUAGACUAAGAACGUCAACCAUGUGACCGAAACCCUAGCUUGACCCUUGAGAGCAGUCCAGAAAACAAACUUUGGUAGACUCACUACCAAGCCUGCAAAAAGAGGGCUCUAAACAGAGCGAACUGAGAGGUUUAGAGAGAGCAGCGUGUAAAGAGACAAGAAAAAGCUGGUCUGUCGCCACGAAAUUGAAGAGAACUCAUGACAGAGUGGAAAAUUAUCCACAACUCUCCCUAUUGAUCAGAGAGAGAGAGCGAGAGCGAGAGAGAGAGAGAGAGAGAGAGAGAGAGAGAGAGAGAGAGAGAGAGAGAGAGAGAGAGAGAGAGAGAGAGAGAGAGAGAGAGAGAGAGAGAGAGAGAGAGAGAGAGAGAGAGAGAGAGCGAGAGAGAGAGCGAGAGAGAGAGCGAGAGAGAGAGAGAGAGAGCGAGAGAGA